UUUUUUUUUUUUUUUGCGACGUAGGAUUACACUCAACAAGGCCUGUUAAAAUUACUUGUAAAUACGUGUAUUAUGAUUCAUGCACGUACGUAGAAUGCUGUAUAUGAAGUUUCAGAACUGUUAAAAUUAUAUUGUGAGCUGAUGAUCAUUGAAAAAAGCUGUGUACGCUUUCAAUCAGAAAAGAAAAAAGGAAAGGAUAAAGCUCAGAAGCCGUCAUUACUCUCAGUCCUACUUUUCCCUUUCUUGUAUAUCUUGUGCAUUUUCAAUCAUUGUUUUAUAGAGUACGAUUAAAUUCCAUAGAUUUAUAACACUUAAUAUCUUUGAAACUUUCAAUUAAGGAUAAGAUAAUGUUAAUGAGGUUAAAUUUAUAAAUAAAAUUUUAUAAAUUAAAUGAUAUGAAAGUUGGCGACACCGACACCUCAUUUAGUUUGUAAAUAUUGUUUACAAAAGUCUCUGUAGCAUUAUGUUUAAGGAUAAUAUUAGAGAGACCAAAAUUUUAAAUUAAAUUUGAAAAACAAAUGAUGUGUCAAGUACGUUAAUUAAUACUUAAAUAAUAAUCUAAUAAUUAACCAUUACAUCAUUUAAUUUACAAAAUAUAGGGUGACACGUGGGCUGUGCAAUAAAAUAUUAUGACAGUGAAGUGGACCCCUUGCCCACACAUCAGGCCAUCUCCAACCGAUGGCUGGCCAGAUGGCUUGUUUUAGCCCUCUGGCCCUCCAAGAUAUUAAUAUUUUAAUGAACAGUACAGGGCCAUAUUUGCCUCCGUCUCCAACCGAGGGCCAGAGGGCUCAUUUUAGCCUUGUCACAAAAAACCGUCUUCAACCGAGGAUCAAAGGGCUAUGGGGCCAAACAUAAUUUAUCAUUUAAAAACUACAACAACUUAAAUUUAAAAACAACAACAACUUAAAUAUAAAAACUACAACUAAAAUUUAAAAAUGACAAAUUAAAUUUAAAAACUACAAAUUAAAUUUGAAAACAACAUUAACUUAAAUUUAAAAAUUUUGGGAGGAAUGGUGAAUGAAUGGUUUAGGUAUUGAUAGGAAAAAAAAAUAUAGAAUUUUUGAGAAUUAAAAAAAAAGGCCCAAAAAACCUAAAAAAAAAAAAAAUUGAAUCCAACAGUAACUGGCACCAGCUAGCUGUUGGAUUCAAAAUUCUUUUUAAAAGUUCUUGUCGGUUAUAACCGACAGGAAUACAUAUAUUGUAUUUCAUGUAAAUGCAUUCCUAUCGGUUAUAAUCGACAUGAUUAAGCGGUUUUCUGGUCAGCCCUCCAACCUUCUCCGAUUCCGUGGGGCCAUCUCAGAUUCCACAUCCCUCUGGCCUAGCCCUCGGUUGGAGACGAUUUUCGGGCUAUUUUCGGCCCUUUGGCCCUCUGGACUCUUUGGUUGGAGAUGGCCUCAUGCUCCAAAUUCCCCAAUCCAUCCACGCGAAUGAGAAAAAGCGCCUCAUCAAGCUCCCCGUUAAUUAAAUUUAUAGUCUAAAUUUACAAAUUAAAUAAUAUAUCAUCAUUAAAAAUAAACAUGUUAAUCAACGUUUAAGUAAUAAUUCAAAUAUUAACUUCUACGUUAUUCAGUUUACAAAUUUUAGUCUCCACGUGUUUUUUUUUUAGUACAUCGAUAUUUUUACAUUAUGAGAGGGAGAGUUCGGCUAAACCACACAAUGAACAGCCUAAAUUGGUAUCGAAUGUACCAUCCACAAGAUUUGAAUCUAAGACCUCUUACUUUUAAGCGAAGUGGAAUACCACUAUUUAUAUAGUAACACAUGAUAUACUACUCCGUAUUUUACUCACACUAAAAAAUCUCUCGCAAAACUACGCUCUCCAAUUUAUGAAUGCUUCAUAUAAACGAGAGCGGUGGCUCCAAUUGCAUUAUUCUUGCAUUACAUGUGAAUUGUUUUGAACUUUUUUUUCUUGGAGCAAUUAUUCAUAUUUGAUUUUGGUUAAUUGAUAAGUGAAUAUUAUAUCUUAAAUUUGAACAUUAUUGAUUUAUAUUUUUCUUUAUACAAUGAUACUAUCACUUUAAAUUACACUAAAGAAAAUGAGAGGAUCACGAUAUAGUACGAGCUGGUUUGGAAUUAUGGUGCUUUUAAAAAAAAUAACUUAUUAAAAAUUAUGGAAUAUCAAAUGUGUUUGGUAAAACAAAAAAAAAUAAGUGUUUUUUUUUAAACUACUGCCAAUGACAGUAGAAAAACAUAGAAAAGCAGAUGCAGAGGCUACCAUGCUUCUAAAAAAAGUAUUUUUUUAUGCAUAGUAAUCAGGGCCCAUAUAAUGAAAUUUUCAAAUAACAAGUAUACCCCAACAUAUUUUACAAAAUUAAAAUCAUUGCCCCUAUAUUAUUCUCUUUGACAAUUAUUAUAGGGGCGUUUAUAUUUAAAUGCCUCAUUGUUCUAUUUGUUAAAUUAAACAUCUAUACCUUUUAGCAUUUUUACAAAACAUUUUCCUACAUUUUAAGUGCCAAAUAUAUUAUGACACACCUCGACCCGGAAUGUCCACCACAUCCUAGGCUUGGCUCCACCGUAGCACGAUAUUGUCCGCUUUGGGCCCUAACCACGCCCUCAUGGUUUUGUUUCUGGGAACUCACCCAAGUAGAACUUCCCAAUGGGUCACCCAUCCUGGGAUUGCUCUCGCGCGAACUCGCUUAACUUCAGAGUUCCUACGGAACCCUGAAGCCAGUGAGCUCCCAAAAGGCCUCGUGUUAGGUAGAGAUGAGAAUAUACAUAUAAGGCUUACAUGAUCAUCACCCCUAGGCGAUGUGGGAUCUUACAUAUUAUAAGUAGCAUUUUUUUAAUGCAAAAUUACACAAUUUGCCAUAUAUAUAAUGCACCAAUUAACUAAUAAUUAGCCAAAUCUCCUAGAAUCUAGUAGACGUAUGUUUUAAAAAUCUAAAAACAUAUCAAAUUUGAUUUAUUUAUGCUUCUAAUGUGAUAUAUAUUUAUGUUCUUCUUUCACGAUCAUUCUACAAUUUUUUCGUGACAUUUCUUUUCUGUCAGUCGAUACUCUUCCGUCCUUAUGGUACAUUUGGAAAAUAGAUUCUAGUGGUAGAUGAUAUGGGGUAUGUUUCCAUUUAGUAUUGGUACGUUUCUAGCUGAUAUGUUGGUAAAUUUUAAGUUGGCAUAGGUACAUUAUAACGACCCGUCCCAAUUUAUUGUAUAUAUUUUAUCCCCGAGUAUGUAAAGUGACGAUAAUGCCCUCGAGGCUUAGUGACGUGGAUGUACGUAUAUAGUUUUAAAUUAUUUUUCUUCCUGUCGUAAUUAAAUAGUACGCGUCGUUACGAGAGUGUUGACGUGAAUUAGGGCCGAAUCGGGUUCGUAGCGAAAAUGUUACAAAUGAAUAAGUGGAAUUUGGGUAGGUUUCUUUUUAGUUGGGUCCAAUUGCUUGAACCUUAUACAUUGUAGCCCAAUUAGGGCUUGAGAUUUUUUUUCAAGUGGCCAAUCUAUGACUACACACACACAUACACAUGUGCCAAACUUCCCUAGUUGGUACCACACAUAUUGGGCCUCAGACUUUGAUACAUUGGACUUCAUUACCCAACCCAUACAAUUAUGUAAAAGGAGGAGCCCCUUAUUCUAUAAAAGGGGACUCCUCCCCCCCCUCACAAAUCGGACUCGGUGAACCUAACAGAGGGCAAUACCCUCACAAAUACAACAACACUUUCUUUCUCUGGGGGACUCCCCCUCACCCUUGUAAUCCAUACAUACAGUUAGAGAGAAAUACAAUCAACAUUAGUGUGGACAUAGCCCAAACAUUUGGGUGAACCACGAUACAUCUUGUGUUCUUUACUUUCUUGCAGAUUCACGGUCGGAUUUACGUUGUUCCAAGACCUCCGGUUUUGUGCAUCAACAUUUGGCACCGUCUGUGGGAAUCAACACGAAAAACUAUGUCUGUUCUCUUUCAUUUUUUCACCUCCACCGUGAAUCUGCAAAAUCUGCAAAAAACCCAACAACCCAAAGCUUUCCCAGAAAAAAAUCACAAAAACCAAGAACACCACUCUCUUUCUUUCUCUCUGUAGAAAGCUCUCAUCUUUCUCUCUCUACAUUUCUGGAAACACUACAGACUACACCAAGAAGUUUGGGUCUUUACAGAUAUUAGAGGAGGAGGAGGACACUCCAUUUAAAGAGAUAUAAAAGCUUCAUUCGGGAGUCGGGACUUCAUGCAAUCUUCCGAGGUCGUAUCUCUCCAUCUUUCUUCCCUCUUGUUUUAUUCUUUGAGAAGGAUCUGCCUUAGAUCUGAAACUUUGAUUCAACGGUCCGAUCUAGUUUCAAAAUUUCCCAGCACUUUUCCAUUCACUCCAGUUUCUCAACGUUUCCAACAAUGUAUGGGCCGACAGAAUCCCAGAAAUUCUAACUCGUCUCAAAACCCACCAAGCUUGCAUAAAUCUCCUGCUCCUUCACUCCCCCUUUCUCUCUCUCUCUUGGUCCGCAGUUGUUGAAGCUCGGAGACACAACAAUGGCGACGGUGUUAAUACAGAGGCCCAGGCCCAGCAGUUGGACCUCAAGGCUCGAGACAAAAUGGAGCUCCAAAAUCCAUAAAUAUCUAAACCGACGUCGGAUUAAAAAUCACAAAGUAAUUGUUUCUCACUCAAGGGGGCCAAAAAGAUGACCAUGGUGUACUCGCGGCUGUCAAUCCACGCCGUUCUGAGUCUGAUAGCAGCCGGUACAAAGGUCACACUCUCACGGAGAAAAAGUUGCUUUCUUUACUCAAGUCCAAGUCCAUCGCCGACCUCAACUUUCUUGCCUCCGAUAUCGUCCCUCUGGUCUUUGCUGACCAAUCUUCCAGAGGCGGGCCUCGUUUGUCCUUCGUCAAUGGCCUCUGAGUGGACAAGUCAACCCCUCUCAAGCCUUGUUUCAAAAGGUGGUGGACAAUUUUUACGAGGCAGCUCGAAAAGAAGUCGAUUUCCAGACUAAUGCCGAAGAAGUGAGAAUCAAAGUGAAUUUGUGGGCCAAAAAGGAAACUAGGGGACUAAUCACAGAGGUUCUUCCUUUUGGAUCGGUUAACAACAUAACGAGGCUCAUCUUUAGGAAUGCAUUGUACUUCAAAGGAGUUUGGGAUGACCAGUUUUAUGCAUAAAAAACAAAGAAGUACGACUUCUACUGUCUCAAUGGCAAACCAUCGGCAACUCGCAGCGCUUCUCUCAGUCGCCAUCCCCAAAGACUCCUCAUCCCUCCAACUGAUUGAGCCAACUAUUUGCUCUUGACUCGUAUCCCUGGUGGAUGUGGUAAGCAGCUGAAGAAAAAGAAGGGAGAGACAGAAAGACAGAGAGGACGCGGUGUUUGUUGUAAUGCUGUCAGUUAUCAUUAUUUUAAUCUGGUGAGUCUGAAGGGUUUAAUCAACCACCCACAUGGAAAUGGCUAGCUAUGGGUGUGUUUGCUGUAAAGCAAGCAUGCAAAAUCUGCAAAUGAGCAUGCGUUGAAAAAGUGUACCAGAAGAUGCUUGGUGAGACUUUCAUUAUCACAGCCCCAGCCUGAUAAUAAUGGAGAAAUGGCUUUUCUAUAAAAGCCACGGGAAAAGCCACAAGCAAAAAAAAGGGUAUCGACCACCAAAGAAGAUUCCCACACUUUCAUUAUGCAGGUUCCUAUUUUUUGAAAAAAAAGAAAAGUAGAAAGUAAAAGAAGAUAAAAAGAAGUAGACAUAAUUGCGGUGGUGAUGGCAUGCAGAAAAGUGAAUUAUGUGCGUGACCCAUUGAGCAGAGGGUCGGAUUUAUUUUUGAAUGAUGUGAUUUAUUUUCCUUAUCUUUCGGAGACAUCUGUAUAAACCCCAUCAGAGGGUAAUAAAAAAAACGGCAAGCCCAAAAUAAUGGGCUGGAAUAUUAUAUGGAGGGCGAAGGCCCAUAUGCCCAAAACAGUCAGGCCCUCUAUUAUCACCAACUAGGUGAUCAAAAGUACGUCCAGUACUACAAAAAAUUAUUCGGCAGCCUGCCGCUAUUACCACCAACCAGGUGAUCAAAAGUACGUCUAGUACUACAAAAAAUUAUUCGGCAGCCUGCUACUAUUACCACCAACCAGGUGAUCAAAAGUAUGCCCAGUACUCCAAAAUUAUUUGGCAGCCUGCCGCUAUUAUCACCAAACAGGCAAUCAAAAGUACGUCCAGUACUCCAAAAUUAUUCGGCAGCCUGUCACUAUUAUCACCAACUAGGUGAUCAAAAGUACGUCCAGUACUCCAACAUUAUACAUGAGCAUCACUCAUAUCAAUCAUACAUAAACAUUCAUGAGCAUCACUCAUGUCAAUCAUACAUAAACAUUCAUGACCAUCAUUCAUGUCAACAUUCAUGAGCAUCACUCAUGUCAACAUCCAUGAGCAUCACUCAUGUCAAUCAACAUAAACAUUCAUAAGCAUCACUCAUGUCAAUCAGCUUCGAAACUUCAUUUACAGAGCUUCAACUUCGAGAGCUCCAGCUUCAAAAGCUUCAUUUACAAAAGCACCAGCUUCAAAGCUUCACCUACAAAGCUUCAGUGCAGGGUAUACAAAUACUACCUUCGAACAACCGCCACUUCGGCUCAUACAUGGAUUGAAUUUGAAGUCUCCAGCCAACAGCCUCUAUUGACUGAAGACUUGGGGGACUACACUAUGUACCAUAUAUUGGGCUUCCACAACUGGGCCUCAUGAAAAAUACUUGGGGGACUUAGCCCAUCACUUAUGUAUUGAUGAGCGAACCCCUAUUCUAUAAAAGGGACUCCAUCACCAUCAUUAGAGAGCAUCAACUCUAGCCUAUCAUUCAUGUAUUGAGGAACAAUCCCUUAUCUUAUAAAAGAGACUCCCUCACUUUCAUUAGAGAGCACCCAUUAUUCAUGUACUGAGGAGCGAGCCCUUAUUUUAUAAAAGAGACUCCCUUACCUUCAUUAGAGAGCAUUGCCGCCUACUGAGCAACCGCCUCACCGCGAGCAUCAACUCUAGCCCAUCAUUUAUAUAUUGAGGAGUGAGCCCUUAUUCUAUAAAAAGGACUCCCUCACCUUCAAUUCCACAAGCCGAGCCAACCAAGGCAACAUAUGCCACAAGCUGAGCAGCCUCGCAACAUGUGCUACUUCUAGUUGAGCAUCAUUUCACUUCGAGCACCGCCUCAUAUCAAGUAUCAGUUCAAGACGACAUCUAGUUACUUCGGCCCACACAUGGACUGAAUUUCAAGUUUCCAGCCAAAAGAUUCUCUUGACUGAAGACUUGGGGGACUACUGUUUGUACCAUACUUAAGGCCUCCGUAUUUAAACCUCGUAUAAAUACUCGGGGGACUCAAAUGUAAUUAUGUAAUAAAUGAAUGGGCAAAUAUGUAAAAAGGGGAUGAGCCCUUAGUUUAUAAAAUAGUCUCUUCACCCUCACAAUCAGGGAUGCCAAUUCUUAGGCCUGAGAUCCCCAAAGCCUCUCUCACCCUUACAAACAGAGGAGCUCUCAUCUUCACAUACAGAGGCUCUUUCCCUCAUAAUCCUCUCAGAGAAAUACAAUAUCAGUGUGGACGUAGCUUAAACAUUGGGGUGAACCAUGAUACAUCUUGAGUUAUUUACUUUCUUGCAGAUUCACGGUUGGAUUUACGUUGUUCCAAGACCCCUCCGGUUUUGUGCAUCAACAUCCCUCAACCUCUUUUUCUUUCUCAAACUUUCUCUUGUCUGUACGACCUGAGUUUUGCAACUUUCAAACACCAUCAAAACCUCAUGGAUCGAAAUCGAGAUUUCUAUAAUCAUACUCCUCUCGAGCUUUAGAACCUUGUAGUACCAUUUGCUAAGUGUGUUGGUUUCUAAAACCCGAGAUUCAGGAACUCCGGCUAGGAGCGAAAAUAGCUUCAACGUGAUCGAGCGUGAUUCACUUGGUUUUGAGGCUUAGUAAGGUACUUACUCAACUUCCCUACCAUGUGAGACUAGUUUUGGAGAAGUUUGGACAUUGGAAUAAGCUCGAUAGUGGGAUUGCAGGGUCAGCCAGUUUUUCCAAGGAUUUUUUCCGGCCAUUUUCCAUUGGAUUUUGGACUAUUGAUAGGUAAGAUUGUGUUCUCCUUGUUGAGAGCUUCAAAUCCAUGUAAAGUUUGUGAAUUUUGGUUGAGAUUUGAGGGAGAUAUUAAGAUUUUAACAUUUUCCAGAAAUCGACAAUGCAGUAGUGAUCGACGCCAAAAUCCGACGAACCAAGGAGAAUAUUCCAUCAACUUUGACGGAAUAUACUGACGGCGUCAGGUAACUUUAAUAGAAUAUUGUAGGAAUUUAACAGAAUAUUCCCUAACGCCGUUAGGGAAUCCGUUAGUGUGCCAGGCACGUGCCUGCGCAUGGUCAGCGCAUGAGGGUGCGUGGUACAUCGGAAAAUUGUUCUAAAAAUAUGGAGAUGCUCAUGGUGUUGAGUAGGCCACGAUGGUAUAUUCAAAUAUCCCAAUUGAGCAACAUAUGAGAAGUUAUUACACGGUUUUGGUUAUGUGCUUAAAACUAGCGUUAAAUUAGUUGUUUCGAAUAUAGGUGAAACAUUUCCGGAGGACGAACGUAGCCAGGCGAGACUCGGGGGUUACGACCCUGCUACAUACCAAUGAGUGAGCUUUUGGUUUUCUAUAUAUAUAUAUAUAUAUAUAUACGUAUAUAUGCUUUACAUUUUCCUAGAAACUAUUUUGAAACAAGCGUAUUCUUUUAAAUGCCAUGUCAUGCUUGCAUUUCAUUUUAUUAUAUGCAUUGGUAUGUAUAUGUAAACUAUUGUAUGACGUUGCGGAGGCUAUGUAAGUUCAGGUGAGUACUGUAUGAUGUUAGUGGUUGCAUUGGUUAUGGUUAUACAUAUAGGCAUGUAAAGCUCAUUAUCAUGCACCCUGGUGUUAGUGCUCCUGCCCGUGGCCAGGGCACAGUCCCUAUUCGACUUUUCAAGUGGGGUACUCAAAAGAAGUGGUGUUCUAUGGAGACCAUGACUUCCUGUUCUACAUAUCAGGAGUUUUAUGAGGUUCUACUUCGGGUUGAUGAUUCUGAGAAUGCCCUAGAUGAUAGUGAUGAGGAGGAAGAAAAAGAUAAUAACCAGAAGAAAAAUAAUAAUAAAGAUAAAGGGCAAUCAUCGUAGGGUCUUCACAAAACACAGAGUUUUAAACGAAGUGGUACUAGCUCGAGUUCAUCCAGUGGUGGUUCGAGUUCUACUGCGCAGCGGAAGGGCAAUCGAUUUUCAGAAGGUUCCCAAUUUCAGAGACAGAGAUUCUAACAGUUUAAGUGCGCCACUUUGUCGUAGAUGCAAUAAUCAGCAUAGUGGGGAGUGUAGACGAGGUAGCAGUAGAUGCUUCACUUAUGGUCAAAUGGAACAUCGGGCUAUCUAAUGCCCGUAGAACUAGCAGAAGCCUCAGCCACUUACCUUGCCACCACCAGCUCCUAUUCAGCAAGUCCUAGGGCUUAGUGGUUAUACUUCGAUGGGUUAUGGUGGUGCAUAUCAUUAUCAGGAAAAUAUAGCUCCAUAUUUUAGAGGACCGUAUCAAUACCCACACGAUCCGUAUCAUUAAAGUAGUUACACUCAGUACCCAGAAGGUUACAUGGCAUAUCCACCAUAUCCAGGUGGUGGAUCACAGUGGUAUCCCGGAAGGCAGUCCUAGAACGUUGAGGUUGCUUUUAGCAGUGCAGGAUCAUCAAGGCAGCCUAAUCAGCCUGGUUAGGGACAUGGUUUGCAGGGACGUGGAAAUUAAGCUAACAGAGGUAUGGAGGACGGCAACAGCCACAGGGCCGUGUUCACCACAUUACUUUGCAAGAUGCGCAAAGUAAUCCUGAUCUGAUUAUGGGUACGUUGAAUAUUCUUGGCCAUUUUGCUAGAGUAUUAAUUGAUUCUGGUGCCACACAUUCUAUUAUUUCUCAUAUGUUUGUUCAGAUGACACAACCUUACCCCAUACAUCUCGGUUAUAAGUUAGAGUAAUCGAUGCCUAGAAAUGAGAGACAUGUUAUGUUAGCUGGGUAUAUCAAGGAUGUUCUGUUAUGGUGAAAGACAUCGUCAUACCAGCUAAUCUUGUUCCAUUAGAUAUCGUUGAUUUUGAUGUUAUUCUGGGCAUUGAUUGGUUACAUUAUAAUCGUGCUAAGAUGGAUUGUUACAAGAAGAUAGUUAGUUUUCAUCGGCCAGGCUUGCCUGUGGUUACCUUUGUGGGUGUACGUAGUGGACUGAAACGUAAUGUUAUUUCUGCCAUGAGGGCCAAACGGCUAUUGAGGAAAAGUUACCAGGGUUAUUUGGCUCACGUGUUAUUGAAUGAGGAUACUUCUACUCGUGUGGAGGAUGUUCGAGAAGUUAGGCAUUUCCCUGAUUUUUUUCCUUGAUGAUUUACUGGAUUACCACCAGAUAGAAAAGUAGAGUUCACUAUUGAUUUAUUUCCAGGUACAUAUCCUAUUUCUUUAACUCUUUACCGAAUGGCUCAUGCUGAGUUGAGGGAAUUAAAAACCCAGUUGUAGGAAUUGGUUGAUAAGGGUUUUGUUUAGCCUAAUACCUCACCUUGGGGAGCUCCAGUUUUGUGUGUACGAAAGAAAGAUAGGACUAUGAGGCUGUGUAUUGACUAUCAACAAUUAAAUCGGGUAACGAUUAAAAAUCGUUAUCCGUUGCCGCGUAUAAAUGAUCUAUUUAACCAGCUUCAAGGUGCCUGCGUGUUCUCCAAGAUUGAUUUGAGGUCUAGGUAUUAUCAAUUAAAGAUCAGAAAUGAAGAUGUUCCUAAGACAGCUUCUAUGACUCAAUAUGGUCAUUAUGAAUUCCUUAUGAUGCCAUUCAAGUUAACAAAUGCACCCGCAACUUUUAUGGGCCUGAUGAAUUGAUUAUUUAGGUCAUACUUUGAUAGGUUCAUUAUUGUCUUUAUUGGUGAUAUUUUGGUGUAUUCUAAGUUUAAGUCAGAACAUACUCGACAUCUCACUCUGAUUUUGAAGAAAUUGAGGGAACACCAAUUAUAUGCUAAGUUUAGCAAAUGCUAGUUUUGGUUAGAUCAAGUAGCAUUUUUGGGGCAUGUAAUAUCAGUUCAGGGCAUUCAGGUGGACCCAUAGAAAGUAGCUACAGUUGAAAAUUGGGAGCAGCCACGAACCGUCACCGAGGUAUAGAGUUUUCUCAGCUCAGCAGGUUAUUACUGACGGUUUGUUAAAGAUUUUUCAACCAUAGCGCUACCACUGACAAGGUUGACUAGAAAAGAUGUUAGAUUAAAGUGGGGCGAUGAUUAUGAAUGGAGUUUUUGACAACUAAAGUAUUGCCUUACUGACGCACCUGUAUUGGCGCUUCCAAACGACAGUGGUAAUUUUGAGAUUUACAGUGAUGCUUCUUUUAAUGGUUUAGGAUGUGUGUUAAUGCAGCAUGACAUGGUAAUUACGUAUGCCUCAUAACAGUUGAAACCUUACGAGAUGAAUUACCUUACCCAUGACCUCGAGCUAGCAGCCAUUAUUUUUACCUUGAAGAUUUGGAGGCAUUAUUUAUAUGGAGAAAAGUGCCGAAUUUUCACACCAUAAAAGCCUCAAGUACAUAUUCACCCAAAAAGAUCUUAACCUUCAACAGCAGAGGUGGAUAGAAUUACUUAGUAAUUAUGAUUACACGAUUGAGUACCACCCUGGUCGUGCAAACUUGGUGGCAGAUGAGCUUAGCAAGAAAUCACAUGGCCAACUUAAUGCUUUAUAUGCUUGCCAUAUCCUUCUUGUCAUAGAAUUGAGAUCUACUGGAGUUGAUUUGGGAGUGAUAGAUCGGGAAGAAGCUUUACUUGCAAGUUUUCAAGUCAGACCAAUUUUAAUUGAUCGUGUACUCGAGGCUCAAAUGAAUGAUGAGAAAUCUCAGGAGUUAAUUCAGGUAGUUUCAGAAGGGAAAAAGAAAGAUCUCAGGAUCCAAGAAUUUGAUGGCAUGACAGGGAAAACGGAUGUACGUGCCGAAUAUUGUAGAACUAAAGAAAGAUAUUCUUGAUGAAGCACAUAUAUCGGCAUAUGCGAUGCAUCCUGGGAGUACCAAGAUGUAUCACACUAUUUGACCUUUCUACUACUGGCCUGGCAGGAAAAGAGAGAUUGAUGAAUAUGUGAGUCAAUGUGCAAUUUGUCAGCAAGUCAAAUUUAAAAGGAAGAAGCCUUUUGGAUUAAUGUAGACACUUCCCGUUCCCCAGUGGAAAUGGGAAAAUAUUACCAUAGAUUUCGUGUACAAGCUUCCUCGUACAUGAAAUGGUUACGAUGGCAUCUGGGUGAUAGUGGAUCGGCUUACUAAGUUAGCUCAAUUUAUACCAAUUCGAGAGAACUAUUCUUUAAGCCGAUUAGUUGAGCUAUUUAUAUCAGAGAUUGUUAAGUACCACGAGGUUUCAGUUAGUAUUAUUUCUGAUCAGGAUCCUAGGUUUACUUUCAAGUUUUGCGUAGCCUUCCAAGAAGCUCUUGGUUCGAGACUGCUUUACAAUAUGAUGUAUCAUCCACAGACAGACGAGCAAUCUGAGAGAACCAUCCAGACGCUGAAAGAUAUGCUAAGAUCUUCUGUACUGUAGUUUGGCGACCCUUGGCAUAAACGUUUGGAUUUGAUUGAGUUUACCUACAAUAAUAGUUACCAUUCUAGCAUCGGUAUGUCACCUUUCGAGGCAGUCUAUGGUAAAUUCUGUCGUACUCCUCUGUGUUGGUCAGAAGUUGGUGAAAGGGUGUUAGUGGGCCUAGAGAUUGUUGAUGAGACUACCCAGAAUAUUUAGGUAAUUAAAGCUAACCUGAAAGAGGCCUAGGAUCGAUAGAAGAGCCUUGUCGAUAAACACACCACUAAUAAAGUCUAUAAAGUUGGAGAUUGGGUAUUUCUAAAUCUAUCUCCAUGAAAGGGCGUAGUACAGUUCGGUAAGAAAGGUAAGUUAAGUCAUCGUUACGUUAAACUGUACCAGAUUACCGAAUGGGUCAGUGAAGUUGCCUACAGACUUGAGUUACCUCCAGAACUAUCAGGAGUCCACGACGUUUUUCAUGUUUCUACGUCAUUAUUUCUCUGAUCCAUCACACAUGAUACCUCCUCAGCAACUAGAAAUUAAUCCAAACUUAACAUAUGACGAGGAGCCAGUGACAAUUUUAGACUGGAAGGAUAAGGUUCUUAGGAACAAAACUGUGCACAUGGUGAAAGUUUGUGGAGGAACCAUUCAGUGGAGGAGGUUACUUGGGAGACAGAGAAUCGUAUGCGAGAUUUAUAUCCACAUUUAUUUUAUGGGUAUUGAUAUAUUGUUAUGCUAGUGUACAUAUAUUUCGAGGAAGAAAUUUUCUUAAGGGGGUAGGUUGUAACAACCCGUCCCAAUUUAUUAUAUAUUUUAUCCCCGAGUAUGUAAAGUGACGAUAAUGCCCUCGAGGCUUAGUGACGUGGAUGUACAUAUAUAGUUUUAAAUUAUUUUUCUCGCUGACGUAAUUAAAUCGUACGCGUCGCUACGAGAGUGUUGACGCGAAUUAAGGCCGAAUCGGGUUCGUAGUGAAAAUGUUUCGAAUGAAUAAGUGGAAUUUGGGUUGGUUUCUUUUUAGUUGGAUCCAAUUGCUUGAACCUUAAACAUUGUAGCCCAAUUAGGGCUUGAGAUUUUUUUUUAAAGUGGACAAUCUGUGACCACACACACAUAUACACAUGUGCCAAACCUCCCUUACCCUUUCUUUCUUUCUCGAACUCUCUCUCAUCCGUACGACCUGAGUUCUGCAACUUUCAAAUACCAUCAAAACCUCAUGGAUCGAAAUCGAGAUUUCUAUAAUCAUACUCCUCUCGAGCUCUAGAACCUUGUGGUACCAUUUGAUAAGUGUGUUUGUUUCGAAAACCCAGGAUUCAGGAACUCCGAUGAAGAGUUAAAAUAGCUUCGACGUGAUCAAGGGUGAUUCACUUGGUUUUGAGGCUUAGUAAGGUACUUACUCAACUUCCUUAGCAUGUUAAACUAGUUUUGGAAAAGUUUGGACGUUGGAAUAAGCUCGAAAGUGGGAUUGCAGGGUUAGCCGAUUUUUCCAAGGAUUUUUCCGGCCAUUUUCCAUUGGAUUUUGGACUGUUGAUAGGUAAGAUUGUGUUCUCCUUGUUGAGAACUUCAAAUCCAUGUAAAGUUCAUGAAUUUUGGUUGAGAUUUGAGGGACAUAUUAAGAUUUUAAAUUUUUCUAGAACCGGCGACGCAGCGGUGAUCGGCGCAACAAUCUGGUGAACCACUGAAGAAGGAAAGAGAAUAUUCUGUCAACUUUGACGAAAUAUACUAACGGCAUCAGGUAACUUUAACGGAAUAUUCUAGGAAUUUAAUGGAAUAUUCCCUAACGCCGUUAGGGAAUUUGUCAGUGUGCCAGGCACGUGCUUGCACAUGGCCGGCGCGUGGUACAUCUGAAAUUUUUUCUAAAAAUAUGGGGAUGCUCAUGGUGUUGAGUAGGCCACGAUGGUAUAUUCAAAUACCCCAAUUGAACAACGUAUGAGAAGUUAUUACACGGUUUUGGUUAUGUGCUUAAAAUUAAUGUUAAAUUAGUUGUUUCGCAUAUAGGUAAAAUGUUUCCGGAGGAUGAGCGUAGCCAGGCGAGACUCGGGGGUUACAACCCUACUACAUACCAGUGAGUGGGAUUUUGGUUUUCUAUAUAUAUAUAUAUAUAUAUAUAUAUAUGUAUGUAUAUAUAACACAUAUAUAUGCUUUACAUUUUCCCAAAAACUGUUUUGAAACAAGCGUAUUCUUUUAAAUGCCAUGUCAUGCUUGCAUUUCAUUUUAUUAUAUGCAUUGGUAUAUAUAUGCAAACUAUUGUAUGACACUGUGGAUGCCAGGUAAGUUCCGGUGAGUACGGUAUGAUGUUAGUGGUUGCAUUGGUUAUGGUUAUACGUAGAGGUAUGUAGAGCUCAUUAUCCUGCACCCUUGUGUUAGUGCUGCUGCCCGUGGCCAGGGCACAGUCUUUCACGUGAUGUUCACCUCCCGCACAGCACGCUCACCUUGGACCCAAGUUUGGUGCACAACCCUGUCGUACAGACGACAUUACGUGGUUCCGACUCGUAGAUGACCCGCGAUUAUUUGUACAACCUUCACGUGAUCGUAGACUUGAGCGUACUUAUUUACACCCAGUCCCGUCGUACAGACCACAAUAGAUGGUUCUGACUCGUGUGCAUGCAUACUUGAUGAGCUAUAGGUUCAGCCGUACAUGUCACGUUAGGUGACUCCGGCUAGCAUAUCAUUUAUAUUGAUUUAUUUCACCUGACUUAUUUAUUUCAUUGCUGAGAUACUUGACAUGGCAUAUACUCGGUUUUCAUUACUCUCGAACAUGAUUUUUACAUACUUAUAUAUUACUAUUUUCUGGGAAAUUAUAUGGGUUUUACGGUGAUGAGUUAUUAUUUUUGGAAAGUGAAAUGGUUUUAAAAAGCUUUGUUUUUGCCCACUCAUGUUUUCUAUUUUGCGCCCCUCUAGAUUCUAGUUAGACGUUUGUAUUGGUGGCUUACGAGGACUCUACGGCGGUUCUGACAGACUUCAAAUAAUGUAUGGGUUUCUUUUGUGCCUUGUAUAAUUCUUACCUAGCUGGCUGGACUGCAUCUAGGUAACCUAUGCCUUGAAUAUGUGUAUAUACACUUUAAAUACCUUCACUCACACUUAUAUAAUUGUCUAGUGUAAGUUAGCUAGUGUGGUUUUUAUUUACUCACAUUUUCAUAUCAUUGUUAUUUCCGCACUGCGUACAUGGCUACAUCAUCCUCACGUGAUGGCUAGCAUGCUUCAAUUUAGCUCGGGGUGUGUCAUACAUUUCAUAUUAGCAUCACUACAUUUCAAUUUGGCAUGAGUACAUUUCUAGACGAUAUGUUGGUAUGUUUCAAGUUGGCAUGGAUACAUAUCCUAUCAGCAUUGCUACAAUUCAAUUUGGCAUCGGUAUGAUUCAAGUCAUAUUAGUACAUUUCAACAUGGCAUGAGUACAAUUCAAAUUAGAAACUAAUAUAUUUAAAUUUGGUUUCAAUUUAAAAUUCACAUUCAUAUAUCUCAUGCCGAAUGACAUUAAUCUCAUUCUAAUUAAUCCCUUAAACUAACAACUUUUAUGCAAAUUAUAUUGUGCUACAAUAUUUUAAAAUCACUUGUUUUAUGUUGCAUACUACACAACCAUGCAAUCAAACUAGAACUCAACAAGAUAAAUGUAGCGUCUAUGGUGUUUUCACCAUGUUGAAUUGGCUAUCUCAAUUUUUUAUGUUGAUGUAAGUUUUUUUCGUGAUUAAUGAAGUUUUAUUAUAGAAAAAUAAAUGUUAAAAAUUCAAAAAUUAAGAGAUAAUAUUGAUGAUUUAAUAGUUAAUAUCUAUUAAUUAUCCAACAUCCCUUAAAAAGGGGCAUAGAUUCUGAGACGCCAAAAAACCACUAGUAACUAAAAAGAUUAUGUGGGAAAUCAACAUAUAACAUUUUUCAUUUAGAAAAAACUAAAUAAAAUAAAUUUAAAAAAAUACUUAGGUGGCCACUAGUCAAAGCGUCCUAAUCAAAUCUUUAAAAGACACAAAUAUUUAAUAAAAAAAAUUGUAAGAACGUAGUGGGGCAUUCUAAUUUUCUCAUUAUUAUAUCAUAUUAAAUAUUAUAUCUUUUUUAGUCAUUUAUCAAUAUUCGCAAUAAUUUAUAUAGAAUUUUACCAAACAUUAGGUCAUUAUUUUUUUUUUUUGUAAAAAGAGCUUUUACAAAAAAAAAAAAAAAUUAUCAAAAACUCAAUAAUUUUAUUUUAUAGCUGUUUCUUCUCAAAGCAUAGCAUAAACAAUUUUUUUUUUUUUAAACACAACAAUCGGGCAAUACCAACGCUACAAGAAUAUUGAUUAUUAGGGGCAGUAACUUAGGGGCAAAAAAUAAGGAUUCGUCUCUAUUAAUUUGCAUUAGGAGCGGAUAUAUAAAUUUGCCUCUAAUUAAAGUGAUGGGGGCGGAAUAAAUAUUGUUGCCAUUAAUUUCAGACAUUAUAGGCGAAUAAAUGGGCCUCUAAUAUAUUUAAUGAAAUUUUUAAUAAUUUUAGUUAGGUAUUUACAUUUUUUUUUCCGUUUAUUUUGGAUGUGUUUAAUGGACAAAUCAAAAUAUAUUAACUCCCAAAACCCUAAUUCUCCAAUACCUAUGCACCCACAUCCCUUUUUUCUCUCAUUUCCAACCUUCCACGCACACAGACCUUCAAUCUACUCCUUCCUUUUGAACUCGUGUUCUCUCUCAUUUCUUUCUUCUUCAUAACUUUUCUUCUUUAUCUUUCUUCAUUGUGAUAUUCUAGAGAUCAAAAAACUAAGCGACAAAAUUUAAGAAUGGGGAGAGUGCCCAAAUUUGAAGAAUUCGAAGUAGAACUGAUUGAAAAUUUUCAAGAAAUUUUAAGGUAAAGGACUUGUGCUAAUCUCCACUUAUUGAUUUUCUUACUUUUAACUUGGUGUAAGAUUUCUAGGUUUUAUUUUUAGAAGAUUACCUUAUGAACCGGCUCGAUUUGGGUUGGGCAUUCUUUGUUAUUUUUGUUUGUUUUGUUUUUACAGAUUUAAUGUACAAUUCUUUUGAGAAGGGUGACAAUACAGGUUUCUUCUUAUUUUUGUGAGUUCUGUUUAUAUUUAAACAUUACUUUAUCUUAUAUUGCACUUUUAUCUAGGAUUUUCAAUUGAAGUUUUAUUUUGUGGAAAUCUAUUUAUUUUUCUUUCAUCUCCCUCUACUGUAUCUACAGGGAUGAAGGAAUGAUAAAAGACGAAGGCAUUUGGGUUUUUGGAGGCUGAAGAUUGAGUAUUUGAUUAGAUACAAGUUUUGUUAUAAUUUUAUAUGUACUACAUUCUGGGCUAGAUUUGUACUUCUUCCUCUUUCAUGUAUUCCCUAUAAACAUUGUAAAUCAAAGAUUUAACAUUAGUAAAGAAAUUUAUUUCUUUAACUGGUACUAAAGUUUUGAUUUGAGUAGAAGACUAUUUCAAUGCAUUCAAGAAGAAUAUCUAGAAUAUAUAUAUGGUAUAUAUGUAUGUGUGUGAGUGUGUGUGUGUGUGUGUGUGUUUGACCAAAAACGUAAGUAUAUAUUAAUCUAAUUUACGAGGAAAGUAAAAUUAAAUAAAUUCUACAAUAGGGGCAGAAUUGUAUGCCUCAAUUGCUUUAACUGCCAGCAUGGCAGGAAAUAGACUAGGGGCGGAAAGUGAUGUUAUUAAGUGCGGAUGGAGUAAUAGCAACGGCAGUUUUAGAGGCAAAUCUUUUAUCCGCCAACCCUUAGUUCUAGAGGCGUAAAUUAACAAUAAUUGCACCUAAUAAUAGUUAAUAGACGCAAAUAAAACUGCCUCUAAUAAGUACGAAUUUUGUAGUGCAAAUUAGCCCUAAGAUAAAAAGUUAUAUUCCUCAAGACAAUCUCCUAUUUUGCAUGAUUUAAGUUUUUAAAAAUGAAUAUAAUUAUUCAAGGAAUGUUAAGAUUAGGGAUGUUUAGUCCACGAUAUCAAAUCAUUUUCAUCUUGGAUAUUAAUACAUUAUCGUCCAUAAUCUUCAUCUACUAUUCAAAAGUUGAAAUGGCUACACGUUGUUCAAAAGUUUGGAAAUCAAGGUUAUAACAAAGCAAAUAAUUUAUUUAUUUUUUAUUGUCAAAACAAAAGCAAAUAAUUGAGGUGCAUGUAGUUCCAUAUUCAAAUCGUAUGAAACCUGCUUGUAUUGCUAGCUAGAAGUCUAUUUCAAUUUUUAUGUUUAUCCUUCCUUGAAAUACACGAUUCUUUGUAGAAAGUGCUGUUACUGUUAUCCUAUGUUGCUUGAGUUGUAAGGCAUCGUUAUAGUGAAGCUAUACAAAUCUUCAUGUGGUGGAAAUGCCUUGCAUUGAAUGUAUACCCUUUCCACCUCUCCCUUUUAUGUCAUACUCAGAGAGGGUAUAUAUAUAUAUAGGGUAGUAUUAUUCACAUUUAUUUUUAUUUUUCAUACUCUUGUUAAUUUUUCAUUGAUCUUUUUCAAUUCAUUAGAUAGACUAAAAUUGAAAAGGGGUGUGAAAAAUUAAAAAUAGGUGUAGAUAGCACUAUCCUAUACAUAAGCCAUGCAACAGGAUAACUUGCACGUAAAGGAAAUAAGAUAACGAGAAAAGCGUAUAAAUAUAUUACAUGUAAGUUUCUAACUGAGCUUGUGACAAUAAAAAUUAAAUGAAACGUUAAUUUAAGAGUUUGAAAAUUCAAAGCCAUAAAAAAAAAGUAAGAGAGAACUCUCAAAAUUAUAAUAAAUAAUAUGAAAAAAUGGAUUUAACACUUGCAAGAAAUUCUAAUUGAAGACAAGACAUGAAAAUCAAAAUCUCCUCAAAACUUAAAAAAUUCAUAGUUUAACAACAAAAUUUGACUCAAACAGUCCAUAUGUGACGUUACAAAAGUGAGUUUGGUUUUAAACGCCACUAUAUUUAUAAACAGGAAGAUAAAUGUAUCUUGAGGACUAAAAUCUGAGCUUAGAGUUUUUGAACUUUAAUCCUUUAAGAAGAUUAAAAUUUAAUAAAAACUUGAUGUUAGAUUGAAUAUUGAUUUUAGUCCCUUAAUGUGUACUUAAUUCAAAUACAUAUUAUAUUUUUGUUUUUAUAUUUAAUAAAUAACUUAUGUAAUGUUAUUAUAUUAAAUUUUAAAUUUAUUAUUAUACACAUUUUAAUUCAUUAAUUUUAUGUAACUUUCUCUAAUUAGUGUACCUAAACGUUCGUAUCAUAAUAUAUUUUACUAAAUUAGUGUACCGAAAUGUCCUUACCUAAAUAUAUUGUAGUGAAUUAGUGACACAUAAGAAAAUAUGUAAAAACAUAAGUGUACCGAAAAUUCCAUACCUAACUAUAUGAUACUAAACUAUUGUACCGAAAUGUCAGUACUUAAAUAUAUUUUACUAACCUAGUGUACCGAAAUGUCUAUACCUAAACAUAUUUCUAGUGUACCGAAAUGUUUGUACCUAAAUAUAUUGUAAUGAAUUAGUGGCAGAUAAGAAAAUAUGCAAAAACAUAAGUGCACAGAAAAAUCUCUAUGAGAAUAUUUUCUUACAUAAGAUACUUACCAAAAUGCGAAUUAAAAUUUAUAAUAUUUUCAUAAAAUUUAAAUUCAUAAAAUAAUAAAUAAAAAAAGAGACAUUGAAUACAUAUGUUGGUAUUGAAUAGAGUCUAGGUACUAAAAUCAAUUUGUAAUCUUGUAUAAGAUAAUUUUCGAAACUUCAUCUUAUUUAGGGAUUAAAAUCUAAUUUUCUAAAAUUACAAUGCUUUUAACUUUGUUGUUCUUUGUAAUUUUCAAUUUGUUGUGUGGUUCAUUCCGUCAUUUGGUCUACAUCAGUUUUGUUUCUACCACUACUAGGAAACCAGUUAUUAGUGACGUUUUGAAAACCGACAAAAAACAUAUAUUACUGUCAGAUUUUAAGCAAAAUGCGACAGAAAAUUGAUGUAGUGGCGGAUAUAAUAAGCGACAGAAUUUCCUGCGUCAGGAAAUUAAUUUUCCGACAGAAAAUAUUCUAAAACCGACAAAAAUUGUGUCGAAUAUAACCAACAGAAAAUGAUUAAACCAUCCGACAGAAAUUAAUUAAAAAUGCAUAAAUAAAACCAUUUCCUGUUGGAUAAAACCGACAGGAAUUAUAUUAAUAAUAAAAAAAAAUUUAAAUCACUUUCUGCAUUUUCCAUAUUCCUGCAUUCACCAUCCAACCUCGUCGGAGCUCGAUCUCGCCGGUGACUGUCAAGGCCCUUAAAGUCUUAGGCAAGGGAGCAAUAAUGGGCACCAUUUUCUUAGUCCACGACCCGUCAUCCGACCCCUCCGCCCAUCCCCACCGUAUGUCACCAUUGUCUGCCUCCCUCCAUCACUUCAUCCAACCUUGGUUCAAAGUCAGGUGUGAAUUAAAGUUCUACAACGAAGUAAAAGCAAAGCUCAUAUCAACCAUCAAACUUAUUUGAAAAACGUUGAAGUUUUUCAAAUAUAUACUAGACGAAUGAAUACUUUGUUAAUAGACCAAGAACUGAAUAUUUCUCACCUUUUGGACAACGGUAUCAUCCGCAUUGACGAAAUACUGCCUGAUCAAAAGCAAGAUCAAUUUUGUGACUUAUCAAGAACACAACAAAAUGAGUCGUACCAAAUGCAUUUGCUCUGAAUGUAAAGAGUCUAACUUACUUAACAACCGAAUAGGAGGGAUUGUCUUGUAAUGGAUUGUGAUACGUCUGCAAAUUGCCAUGAAACAUACGAAACUGCGUGUUAGAUUUCGUUGCCCCUUGCAGCAAAACAAUCAAGAUAGGAUUAUCACAUCGAAAACUAAGAAAAGCUGUUGGCUCCAAGUGCUUCCAAGAAAAACUGUUGGCUCCAAGUGCUUCCUAUAAAAGUUGUUGGCUCCAAGUGCUUCCUAGAAAAGCCAUGGGAACUCUGCAACUUCUCAAGCUUGAACAAGAAGAAGCAGAUGAGUUGGUGCAUGAUGUAGCAACGUAAAAAUAUAUAGAAUAGGGUAUACAUCUCAUGCAUAUACUCCCCAGAGACAGAUAGAGGGAGAGAGUAUGAGAGACGACUAAUAACUUUCGGUUAGCUAGCUAAGCUUGGUAGCUUAGCUACUGUGCUGUGAGUGUGAGACAGACACCAAUGAGAGAGAAAGAGAGUCUAUCUGCAGUGUGUGUGGAAUUGUUGGUUGGAAUGGGUUGCAAGUGUUCGAACAUAAUAGAAAAGAAAAGAGGAGAAGGAGAAGGAAAUGAGGACAGGAGAAUAGGGGGAAGGAAGAAGCAUCGGCGCAAGGAAGAUGGAAGGGUUUUAAAAUUUUAGGUUGUUUUCAUUAUUAUCGGUUACAACCGACAGAAGCAUUUUUUUUAAAUAAAAACCGACAGACAAAUUUCAUUACUGUCGGUUAUAACUGACAGAACAAAAAUGGCGGCAAAAUUCCUUCCAAAAAUUUUAAAUUUUCCCUCAAAAUUUUAAAUUCCCCCCAAAAUUUUGUUACGAUUUAAAAAAAUAAAAUAAUAAUUGUUUGGUUUAAUAAAUAAAUAAAUAAUAUGUUGUUAAAUAGAAUAUGUUUUUAAAAAUUAAAUAAAUAAUUGUUUUGUUUAAUAGAUAAUUUUUACACUUUUGGCUUAAUAGAGAAUAAUGCAUGUAAAAUAUGCGAUAAAGAAACAAAAAAAAGAAUUGUACAAUGAAAAUAUCAUCACACAAACUAAAUAUUGUCUAAUCAAUACUUGAAAAACAUAAAUAAAUAUUGUCUAAUGAAUAAAUUUGAUAUUCAAUUUAAAAUAUUUACACUUAUACUUAAUGGAAGUAUAACAUUAACUCUAAGUGUUUGUUUAAUCUACCGUUUUGAUGCGAUACACAUUCUACGAAACUUUUUUCAAUGAUCUAACCGUCAAACUUGUUUGUACACACUCCGAGAUCACAUACGUAAAAAAAUCACAAAAAACAAACGUUCAGAGAUUAGGUAACAAAACAAAAGUUUUCGACGGUUAUAAACGAAAAAUCACAAUUUAACGGUUAUUUUAGCUCCGAUUUUGAUGAUUUUUUACAGCUACACUCCUCGACCCUAUAAGAAUGCAUUGAACAAAUUCGAUCUUCAAUUUAAAAUAUUUACACUAAUGGAUAAAUCUUAUUUUAUACUUAAUGGAAGUAUAACAUUAACUUUAAGUGUUUGUUUAAUCUACCGUUUUGAUGCGAUACGCAUUCUACGAAGCGUUUUUCAACGAUCGAACCGUCAAACUUAUUUGUACACACUCCAAGAUUGCAUACGUAAAAAAUCGUAAAAAACAAACAUUCACAGAUUACAUAACGGAACAAAAGUUUUCAACGGUUAUAAACGAAAAAUCACAAUUUAAAGGUUAUUUUAGCUCCGAUUUUAAUGAUUUUUUUACAGCUACACUCCUUGACCCUGUAAGAAUGUAAUGAAUGAAUUUGAUCUUCAAUUUAAAAUAUUUACAUUAGUGGAUACCACAAAAUCUUAUUUUAUACUUAAUGGAAGUAUAACAUUAACUCUUAAGUAUUUAUUUAAUCUACCAUUUUGAUGCGAUACACAUUCUACGAAACUUUUUUCAAUGAUCUAACCGUCAAACUUGUUUGUACACACUCUGAGAUCACAUACGUAAAAAAUCACAAAAAAAAAACGUUCAGAGAUUAGGUAACAAAACAAAAGUUUUUGACGGUUAUAAAUGAAAAAUCACAAUUUAACGGUUAUUUUAGCUCCGAUUUUAAUGAUUUUUUACAGCUACACUCCUUGACCCUGUAAGAAUGUAAUGAAUGAAUUUGAUCUUCAAUUUAAAAUAUUUACACUAGUGGAUACCACAAAAUCUUAUUUUAUACUUAAUAGAAGUAUAACAUUAACUCUUAAGUGUUUAUUUGAUCUACCAUUUUGAUGCGAUAUGCAUUCUACGAAGCGUUUUUCAACGAUUGAACCGUCAAACUUAUUUGUACACACUCCGAGAUUGCAUACGUAAAAAAUCACAAAAAAUAAACAUUCAGAGAUUAGGUAACAAAACAAAAGUUUUCGACAGUUAUAAACGAAAAAUUACAAUUUAUUUUAGCUCUGAUUUUGAUGAUUUUUUAUAGCUACACUCCUCGAUCCUAUAAGAAUGCAAUGAAUGAAUUCAAUCUUCAAUUUAAAAUAUUUACGCUAGUGGAUAAAUUUUAUUUUAUACUUAAUGGAAGUAUAACUUUAACUCUUAAGUGUUUGUUAAAUCUAUCAAUUUGAUAGGAUAUACAUUCUACGAAACUAGUUUCAACAAUCCAACCAUCAAAUAUGUUCGUAUAUACUAUGAGAUAGCAUGUGUAAAAAAUCACAAAAAAUAUAAUAUUUAAAACAUGUGUUUAUUUAUUUUUAAUCAAUAUAACAUUUUAAAAUAAUAAAAUCAGACAUGAUAAAGUACACCAGAUGUUCAUGUAUGUUUAUGUGCCAGACAAUGUGCAUUGUGACGCAUUGGAAAAAAUUGUUUAAAUUUCUUUGUAUCUUGUUGCUUGCCUGUGAGGGAGCAUAAUCCUUAUUACAAAAAUGAUAGAGCUUUAGAUUGUAGUCUGUUGUUAUUAUUCUCUCAGAAAAUUUAUGGCUUGUGGGAAUUGGGUUCAUUAGACUUUAGGGUCAUGAGUGAAAAAAAAAAUAAAAAUAAAAAUAUGUGUUUUUUUAUUUAUUUUUAAUCAAUAUAACAUUUUAAAAUAAUAAAAUUUUCAUUUAUGUCGGUUAUAACUGCCAGAAUACUAAAAUAAUAACCACCAUAAAGUAGAAUAAUAAAAUAGUCAAUUUCUGUCGGUUAUAACCGCCACCAUUAACUUAAAAACCGCCAGAAUAUGUAAAAAAUAUUAAAAAAAAAAGAUUCAAAAAUACCGCCAGUAAAUAUCUGGCAGUAUUUUCUUGAUAUCCGCCAGUAAAUAUCCACCAGAAAUGUAUGUCCAAUAUAACCGACAUGAUUUUUCUAAUAUCCGCCAGUAAUUAAAUGAUGUGUCGGAUAUAAUUUAUCCGACAGGAUUUUCUAAUAUCCGCCACCAUCAUCCGUCACCUAAAGCUAAUAUUGUAGUAGUGUACGCAAAAAACUGAGGCGGUGAGCUGAAGUGCAUGCAUGAUUACUGUGUAUAUACAUAUGGCGCCGCCACGUAUGGUAGUACCAGUAAUACGUAGCAAUACCAAAUACCAAUGUAUACAGUUAUUAUGCAGACUCCAACACACAAGUCCCCAAGCCCAUGCUUGGGAUGCUUGACCACUCUCUCCUCUCGUGUUCCCAGUAAGAUAAGAGGAAGAAACUGAGUUUGCGGCGUUUAGUGAAAUUUACAACCCAUGUGGAUAGGACCAAUCUGCAUCAUCAUCAUCAUCAUCAUCAUCUUCAGUAACAGUACCAUGAUCAUCUCCAGUAAAUAAGUACCAUAAAUAUUCGGGUUCACUACAUCACUACUCAGUCAGCACCCACAGCUUUCUGACACAAAAUUUAGCGAAAAAAUAAAUCUAAUAUUUAUUUCUUUCUUUUAUCUUAUUCAGGAAUCUGGAUCUGGUAAAGAAAAUAAAAUUUAGCAGUGACUGCACCGCACCCACCCCCAGUGACUAAGGGUCAAAAAGUUAUGGCAAAGGGUUAUGAGUGCCCCACUAAUGUCCUUGGUUGGUAGAUAAUCAAUAGUAUUGCAUACUUACGAUAGAAUUGUCAUGGAUUAUACAUUAAAACCAAAAUUGACCAGUUUAGAAAACACAUUUGUCCGAAAAAAGAAAACACUCUGCUCAGAAACGCUUUUAGUAACUAUGUUGCAAUAUUAGUACUAAUUUUUAAUAAAAAUACAAGUGUGAAAGAAGCAAAAAACAUGUGUUCUUUCAUGAAAUACUUCAAGUGUUUUUUAAACACAUAAAUAAUUUUAACAUUUUUACCAAAUAUGGUCAGAAUUACUUUUAGUAAUUUUAAAAACAAUUUCAAACAGACUUUAAGAGUGUUGAUAAACUUACCCCACUGUCUUAUCUUUUCAACCACUUUUAAAUAAAACUUUUGAAACUAAUUUUACCCUCUUGUAAAAUGUCAUCCAAUGACCAAAGUAAAAAAAGAAAAAGAAAAUUUCGUCUCUAUUCACCAUAGCACUGCAACUAUCUCAAUUCCAUUAAAUAAAUAUUUUCUUCAUUUUCUAUUCCUCUAAUUAAUCAUAUAUAAUAGUUAUUUAAAAUAUUUUACCAAACAAUUAUUUAAAAAUUAAUAGAUGAAAUGGGAGACUAGAAGAAGUAAUUGGGCUUGAAGGAGUGGGAUUGAGUGUCGGGAUUUUGGAAAGGGGCAUGAGGAUGGAAUUUUGGGAAUGCGGCAUGAGGCUUGGUCAUGGGGAAGAGGGAGGGAAUGAGUGGAUAUAUGGAAGGAAGGAGAGUUGCAAUCGGUUGGAGAUAUAAGAAGUGACCAGAUUCUAGAAUUCUAGCUGGAAUGAAAAUCGGGAAAGGAAAGUUCACAUGAUAAAAAACUAUGGAUAUUUCUGAGAGUAGAUCUUGUGCCUCAGCGGCGAGGUGACUCGUGGAAGGACGGAAGGUCCUGGGGGACCCUCGGCUGCUGUGUGGUCUUUGGUCUUCCUCUGAAAUGAACAAAGAAAUGAGAGAUGUGGAGGACCUGGGCUCAUGAUUCGGAUCCAAGCUGAGAUUGUCUAAGAAAGAGCUAGGGGGCAUCAGCAUCGAAAGGAAGGAUGUUGAAGAACCUUUAUUGGGAUUCAGUACACUAUGAUUGCUAAAGUGCUCACCACUAAAGAUGUGAAGGGUGAUGUGUUCAUCGAUUGCUUUAUGUCACUCUAGCGAGGACAUGAGGGGGUCUCUAUCAGGGACAUUGGCGAACAUAGGUUCUUGGCAUGAUUUGGGAGACAACGUGAUAUGCAGAGGGUUUUGGAUGCGGACCAGCCUUGGUCCUUCAAAAAUAACCUGGUAAUGAUGGCGUAUCGAACUGAAAAUGGUCUGAAUAAAUAGACACCUCUAUCUUUGGGUGCCUUUUGGGUCAAGUUUCAUAACGUUCUGGUGCUCAACAUGACUCAAGCAGUUGCAGAAUCCAUUGGUGGUUUGAUGGGCUCUAUUCAAAUGGUGGAUAAGUUGAGAAGCCGGAACCACAUUAAGAGGUUUCUCCGUGUGAAAAUCAGGUUCAAUGUCCGUGAACCCCUAAUGCAAGAGAUGUUUGUCAACUUUCCUAACAACGGUAAGGUCUGGGUUGAUUUUAAGUAUGAAGCACUACCGAAAUACUGCCUCAUCUAUGGGAUGUUAGGUCACGCCACAAGAGCUUGUAAAGACCUUCAGGCUGGAGGAAAGGGUAAAUGUGAGAGCUCCAAGGAGAUGGAAAAGGCAUUUGUUUUCCGCUGGUUGGAUGCAGGGAUGGAUAUGAGGGGAAGCCCCUUGGGCACUAGUUCACGAAGCAAGGCCUCUUUAGGCUCAAGUGGAGGAUGUAGGAGCUCAGAACGCUGGAAGGAAGAUCGAAGUAAAGAGCUUGAUGGAGGACAACAUUCUGGAUGCUCAUCGACGACAUCAGGAAUGAGGUGUCACGCACAGUUUGGGGGUUCCAGACCCCAGUGUGGAAGUGACUGUACUGCUAAGAUGGAAGAUGAUGUGCUUGAUACGGGCUCUUCGUCGAGCAAGCCUCGAUGGUCCUCGAGCAAGAGUGUUAAUGGGGAUUCAAAGCUUCUUGACAAAAUUCGAUGCCAACGACUGGUGGAGGAGAAAGCCAGACGAGUUAGGGAAAUUUCAUUUGAUGCUGGGCUAAUUGGACCAAGGGGAGUGGUAGCUGCUGGAGCUGAAAAUGUUAUCCUUCAUGAGCUUCCUGAGUAGGUCGAGGGUGAGGAUGUGGCAAAUGUGUCCUUGGGACCAAGCCAAUGGUUCGACCUAAACUCUAUGCCGCAUGCGGUAAAUGGUAUUGAGAGUGGCAUAAAUGGUAAAGGGAGGAUGAAGUCGUGCAGGUGACUGGUGAAGGGGAGGUAGAAGGGUACAAGGCUAUAAAUGAUGACCUUUUCGAAUUGGCACCCAUUUUUGAGGUAGUGAUGAACAAACACAAUGGGAGAAAACGGGUGUACCAAGAGGUGGAGUUCUCAGUGCCAAGCCAAUGUCGGGAACUUAAUAAGAAUCGGCCGAGGAAUGGCUUAUUUCUAGAGGUGGAGGAGACCAACCUUAAGAUGUCUCCUAAGUCUCCAUGAAGCUAAUCGUUUGGAACUGUCAGAGUAUCAGGGGUGACCUGACAAUUGACAACCUGAUGGAGCAUAAUCGGCUCCACACCCCUGACAUAGUGGUUCUGCUAGAAACAAAGAACAAAAGCAGGCGCUAUGAGUUUCUUAGAAGAAGGCUGGGAAUGGAGUAUAUGCACGUUGUGGAACCUAAAGGGAUUGGCAGCGGGCUGUGCUUAUUUUGGAGAGAUAUCUCACUAGUAACCUUGGUGAAAUUUGAGGACUAUGUAAUUGAAGCAAGACUAUGGGACAUGAAUAAUAGUUGCCAUUGGCAUUUGUUUGCUAUUUAUGACAGUAUUGACGAGAAAAAACAGAAAGACCAACGGAGAUGCUUGAGCAGAAGGAUCGAAAAAGACAGGGACCAAAGUCUCCUCAUCGGGGAUUUCAACGAUAUACUGAGUAACGAAGAAAAUGAAGGUGGCAACUAUAGAAUGGCAGGGAGAUCCCCUAUCUCCCUACUUAUUUCUUCUCUGCACUGAAGGUUUUUCCAUGUUGAUUAGGAAUGGGUUGGAGCAAGGUACGCUUCACGGGUUCAAGAUUACGCCAAACGGUGUACCAACAACGCAUCUUCUUCUUUUUUACUAACAAUUCUGUUCUGUUCGAUAAUGCUUCGGUGGAGGAGGCGCAGGGGGUUACGAGGGUGCUAAAGGUUUAUGCACGGGGAUCCGUCCAGGAAGUUAAUUUGUCUAAAAGCUUGGUUUUCUUUGGCUUGAAGACUAAGUCCUGUACUAAGAAAAAAAUUAUGGGAUCUUUGGGUAUUCAGUGCAAGUAGGGUUUUGGGAAGUACCUUGGGCUGUAAGUGGAUUUUAGCCACUCCAAAAAAGUUAUUUUUUAAGAAGCCCGAGAUAAGAUCGAGACCCGUAUGGUGGGGUGGGCAGAGCAAUUUUUGUCCCAAGCAGAGAAGGAAGUCCUAGUUAAAGAGGUGGCCAUGGAUAUGCCUAACUACACCAUAAGCUGUUUUAAGCUUCACAUUGGGGUCUGUAGAGACAUGGAGAAAGCUAUAAGAAAUUACUGGUGGAGAGGUAACGAGCAAAGGAAAGGUGUCCACUGGAUCUCCUAGGAUGGGCUAAUGAAACAUAAGCAUGUUGGAGGCCUUGGCUUCAGAGACAUCUAAUGCUUCAAUCUGGCCUUUCUGGCUAAGAUUGGGUGGCACUUAACCUAAAACUUGAUGUCUCUCUUUGCAACAGUCUUGAAGGACAAGUACUUUCCAGGUGCAACUUUUAUGGGUGCUUGUAGGGGAGAAACAUUUCCUGGGGUUGGAAAGGAAUUUUUGAAGCUCGUAAGGUGCUCUAGCAAGGCUUAAGAUGACGGGUGGGAGAUGAAGCUAAUAUUAGUAUUAGGGAGGACCCAUGGUUCCCUAAGCCCUCCAAGUUCAAAGUAAGGCCAUGAGAUGGCUUGCAAAGCACUUUGGUGAGCAAUUUAAUUGAUCCAGCCACAAAAUCUUGGAAUGCUGAUUUGAUCUCGGUGGGCUUUAAUAAGGAUGACGUGGCUCCGAUCUUAAGUAUCCCUUUGAGUAGGACUAGAUGCUGUGAUAGAUUGGUGUGGCACUAUAAUGUUAAUAGGGAUUACUCGGUCAAAUCUGGGUAUAGAGUGGCUGUGAGCCUUAUGGAAAACAGGGCCUUGGGGAAAAAUGGGCGGGGCAUGCCCAGUGAAAACCAAAAGAACUUCCAGGUGUGGAACCUGAUAUGGAAGUUGAAGGUCCCCUAACAAAAUUAAACUCUUCAUUUGAUGGUGUUGUAAUCAUGCGUUGGCAGUUAGACGCAACCUGCAAAGGCGUCAUAUAAGGGUUGAUAAUGUGUGUGGGGUUUGUAGUAUGGUGGACGAAUCGAAAAAUCACCUAGUUUUCCACUGUGCUCUCAGUCACCAGUUUUGGUUCUGCUCGCCACUCCAUUUGAACUCCCACGGCUUGGCUGGUGCAGAUUUCUUAGAAAGUUGGGUGAACCUUUGUAAAUAGUUCAAAGGUAGGGAUAAAACUGACGAGAUCAUGAAGACAUGGAAGAAAAACAGGAACGAUUUGAUGUUUAAUGGAAUGAUGUGGUGUUUCAUGGAGUGCACCGGCAACCUUUGGAAAUCUUUGAGGCAUGGAGGAAAAACAUCUCUGACUUUAGAGAUGCAAUGUCCGGGGAAUCUAAAGGUGAGUGCCCCAAUGGUGGGUUAGCAGCAAGGGUUGCGGGUCGCAAUGUCGUACAGUGGCAGAAGCCAUGGUUCGGGGUCAUCAAAGUCAACAUUGAUGCGACUUGGUGUAAGAAUAGCCUGCAUGUGGGUGUGGGCUAGGUCAGUCGAGACUUUGCCGGUUUGCUCCAAGCUACUAGUGGCUCGGGAGUCGGGUUUUGUCACUCUGUUGCCGCUACUGAAGCGUGUGUGAUCCAGGAGGCCAUGUUGGCCUGCAGUGACAACGGGUUUGAGAACAUGAUUAUCAAAUCCGAUGCUAAGGUGAUAAUCCAGAUGAUUAGGAAGGAAUUGCCUUAUGACUUCAGCCUCGAAUGUAUACUUAGAGAUAAUGAGAGUUUAGCGCCCAGGUUGACGUCGUGUUCACCUCUGUGCCUAGGGAGAGCAAUUGUGCUGCUCACUCGAUGGCUAAGUUUGUAUUUAAGGAGGGUCGUGCUUUUGUCUUGGAUUGUAUCAACCCAGAAUUUUUGUUUAACAUUCUCGUUAAGGAUGUAAACAUUCCCAUUUGUCUUUAAUAUAUUCUAUCUUGGAAAAAAAAAAUCGGGAAGGGAGACAUUGACUAUGAGUAGAGGCUUGACUGUGCUUAUUAACACAUUUAAAAUAUAUAUAUAUAUAUAUAUAUAUAUUUAGAGAUUAUUUUAUGAAUAAUAAUUAAAAUAACAUUUCAAUUUUUAAAAUUUUUAUAGUAAUUGAAGUUAUAAUAUGGGUGAGAAAAUAAGACGUUAAAGUAGGUCGAGCAACACUUGGCUUUUAUCACAUAAAGUACUCACAAAUUAAUAGCCCUUACAGUUGCACCAGUCUCCAAUUCACCUCUAGAUUUAUUUGAACAAAAGAAUAUAUAAUGACUUUUGUUUGUACACAACUGUUGCCAUACCAAAUAUGGUUAUUCAGAAUCCCAAGUUUUUUGUUUAAUCAUCACUUAGUUGAAAUUAAGGGGUGGUUACUGAAAUUUUAGGUGGCAACCGGUAAUCUUAACUAUUUUCCUAUUAGCUAAUCAUCUACCUGAGAUUUCAAGCUUUUUGUUUAAUCAUGUACCUAAUCUUACCUUUUAGCUUCCAGCUUUCCUCUGCCAGAAUUGGUGCCUACAUUGAAAUUUAUUUUGUGUACCAAAAGGCUUGAAUACUUUGUGAAAGCGAGUGUGUGGUUAGGUUGGGUGCAUGCAAAAUAAUGUCCAGGAAAUGGUGUCCAUAAACGCUAAACAGAAUAUGAAAACUAGGGUUUGAAUAUCUUGUUUGGCAACGCAAGGGAAGGAGAAAGAAAAGACAAAGAAAGCAACCACAAAGUAAUAAUUAUAUUGUCUUUCUUAUUUGAACUAUUAAUUCAUGUCCGGACUUAAAAGAGAGGCUAUGGUGGAAAUAUUUACUUAAUACAUUCAUCAUGGCGAUAACUAUUAAAUGGUGAAUGUGUUAAGGAAAUGCUAUAGCAACUCCACAAAGAUAAGAGAACAAAACAUAUUACAUAUAUGACGAGAGAAUGUUACGCAUAUUUUAGAAUAAUCAAAUGAUGAUUAGGGGCAUGCUUUUGUGGGUUCAACUUCAAUUAGGUCCAAGAGCCUUUCUUGGUAUCUUUGAAACCCCUACGUAAGAAACAAAAACAAGAACCUCUAGCUGGAAUGAUGAAAUUAGCAUGUGAGGUAUGGAAUCUGAUGUGCAGAAUAUAUUAACCAGUCUUGUACACACAACUUUUCGAAAAGGGCGAACUACAGACCGUCCUGUAAUAUAAUAUGAGCCAUGAUUAAACUGUAUUAGCAGUGUUGGUACACAAUUCUCGACAUGCUAGUUUCAACCUACACUAAUACCAAAAGGCUUGCAUGUGAUGUGAUAAUAUCCUCUAUAUUUGUAUAUUGACUACACUAGUACUAGUAUGAUUGUUAUGCAUCAUAUCAUUGAAUCCGUAUUUGUAUUAUUUGGUCUAAUGUGCCCCCACCCAUGUCCUUAUUUGACGAAUAUUGACAAACAUUGUAAGACUUUCGGAUGGUAAUUACUAAUCUGUAGUGUUGGUGUUUGGGCAAAGUUUUCUCUGGAGAAGGCUCCUCGGACCUCAGCACAGCUCCUCAAGAGAUUGACACUUUUAGAUGUGUAGUCGAGCUCUUACUUGUUGAAGUGCUACAAGAAGAAAAUAAAGUUAGUUCUCAAAGGUGUCUUUGUGGGGCCUUAGGUGUAGGCUUUGAGGCUCGCAAUCAAACCUAACUAAGUGCUAGGCGUGCUACUGCUAUCUCGGCAUAGCAGAUGUAGAACAAGUAUGUUUUAAGUUUAUUACUUGCGCCCAAAGUUACUCAAACUCCUUUUUAUCAAAGGAUUGUCGUGGGUGGGUUAAGUCCACAUUAAGUUCUUUUUCUUGCCUUGUAAAUAAGGAUUUUUAGUUCAUAGUCUUAUAUGUUCGAAUGAAGGGAGUCUAGAGCUCCUUAAGUUAUUGUUUGAUCCUGAACUGAUCUUAAUGAAAACAUAUCAAUUAAGCUAACCAAAUCCAAAUGCAAAUGAGACUCUUAAAAUAGGAAAAGAAAAAAACAAGUGGGAAUAACUUGAAUACAUGUUAGAGAAUGCAUUAAGUAAUAGAUCUACUAAUUUAGAAAACAAACAAAGAGCUUCGGGCAAGAUUUCACCUUGUCUGGCAAGGUUGAACAUCUUGCAAUCACUUCUCUUUGAAUUUACAAGAUUAUAUGCUAAAAGGGAUGGAUGGUAAACAAGUUUACAUGAGAGAAUCAAUACUACAUCAUUGGGAAUGGUAGUAGACAUUUUAUACUAGAGAAAAUAUAACUUUUCUAAGGAAACUAUCACUAAAAAGGGACUGAAUCUAGGUUGAUUUCAGCUUGUGGAUGCAAAUAUGGCUUGAGAGCAGAGUUUGUAUGUUUGUUUGUUUGAUUGAUUGAGUGUCCUUGACUCUGGGGCAUGUCUUUCCUUUUACAAACAAUUUGGCCCAACUGAUGUAGCUUUUGCUUUUGCCCGAAAGCACUUGAAGGGUAGUAGGUCAUCAACUUUCUACUAACAAUGCCACUGGAAAAUGUUCUUUGGCUGGUAGUAGGUUAGUCUCCAUCAUUUGUUAUUUCAAUUAUAGAUACGUGACUUGUAUCAUGGUUGAAAAGGCUUCAAUUUGCUUCUGGGCUCAAUGCUGGACUUCGGGCAAAUCUUCUUUUUAGUUGUCAUCCUUGGGUUUUCCUUCAUUAAGGCCCAAUAUUCAAAUAUUAACCCAAAUAGUUAGUAAUGUAAAAUCUUAUCAUACAUCAGCAACGGAUAAUUACUCAUGCGUAUGUGUUCACUACUAACCACUCUGAUAACUAAACUAUUCCUAGCUACCAUCUUAACCGACCACUUAACGUUCUCUCACCCUCUAAUGUAGGUGGCAUUCCAUCACUUAAGAUCGUACAAAUGGCAGCAUUUGUUAAAAACUAAAGAAUAUAGACUUGAGUACUAAAACCAUGGGAGAAUUGUCUCAUUUCUCUGACUAUAUUCCAAACUAUAUUGGUUUAGCAGAAUAGUUUCUCGUACAAGUGUAUAUAUAUAUAUAUAAUAUAGGAGAACCAAAUAUAUGGCAGCAAAAGGUACCCAGAAACCGCUCACUGGAACACUGUUUCUUUAUCCCAGAAACCUAGCAUUACCAUUAAAUUCAGGAUAGUGUAAUAGGCACACUAUUUUUACCUUUUACUGACAUUUCUUAAUUUUUUAUUUUGAGGAAAGUUUGGUCUUCUAAAAGUGGCAAUUUCAAGAUUUGGGUGAAAAAUAAUUGUAUAGAUUUUGAGGAAACCUAGAUGAGAUCAAGAAAGGAGAAAAUGGGUAAAAAUUAAAUUCUUCCAAAAAUGGAAAAAAAAGGAAUUUUUUUUUAAAUGUUGUAGAUGCACAAAAUCAGUGAGAAACUUUGGUACAAUAGAAAGUGUUAAGUUUGUGACCUUCACUAGAUUGCUCCGGUCACUAGUGUGGAUAAGUAUGCAAAUGGAUAGGGACAGGGAAGCAAACACAAGAUGUACGUGCUUCACCCAGAUUGGCUACGUUCACGGAGUAGAGGAGUUCUCAUUAAUUGUGAAGGGUUUACACAAGUACAUAGGUUCCUUUAGUAAGUACUAGUGAAUGAUUUAGUUUAAAUGACAUUAGGAAAUAUUGUGAGAGAAUGAUCUCUAUUUAUAGAAGAGAGUUUCUAGUUUCAUUCUGACAUUGACACGUUUCAUGUUGUGAUUGGCUUCUGUUGUUGACAUGUGUCGCGCUAUGAUUGGCUUCUGAUGUCGACACGUGUCGCGCUAUGAUUGGCCUCUUGGUUGGAGGGAAACUCUUAUGGGUCCUUGACGGUAUAAUAUUGACCGGUGCUCAGUAGUUUCGGGAUUGGUCAAGUAUGGUACAAACAGUGCUCCCCUAAGUUCACGAGUGAGGGAAGCUCCUCAGUUGGGGACUUGCAAGAUCCAAGUCAUUGAGUAAUCACGAAACUUCGAAGUACCGAAGUGUGGUAUCCUUUUCACUUGCCUUAUCUGUCUCAUAUGUAGAUGUGGCAUCUUUUCUAGAAGUACUUUUCCUCUAUCCAUGGGUGGUAUCUUUAACCGAUGAAGAUGCACAAGGUAAUGUAUCAAUUUCACUUGAAGCUUACUUGUAGUUUCGGGCUUGAUCAAGUGCGAUACAAACCCUAUAGUAGGAGUCCCCCAAGUCGCCGAGCUAAGAGAUUUGCCGAAAGAGGUAACAGACAAGGUAAGCAAUCAGACUUCCAAGCAAGCAACCUGGAUUGGAGGUUCGACUUCGGCUUCCGGUUGAUUGUUCUCCUUCUCUUUGUGUCAUAAACAGCAACAAGGAUAAGGAAAAGCAAAUGGAGAAGAGAUGAUAUGAGAUACUUUUGCUUUUGAAGAAGUAACUUUCCACAGGCUUAUUCUUGAACUGGGCUGGAGGGUUUUCUGGUUUCCUCCAGAGUAUAAGGCCGACUCAAGAAUUUGAGGGUCAAAACAAGUCCAUCAAAUCUAGAGUACGUUCGACCCUGAUGAUAUGGGAUACUUUUGCUGUUGACAAAGUAGUGGAUGUAUCGGCACGUGUUCUGUUACGCUUGUCUCCACAUGCUUCCUUGUAUCCUUCUCACUUGCCCUAUCUGUUCCUCAGGCAGAUGUGGUAUCUUCUCUGGAAGCAUAAGAUGUUGAAGAUGAGUACUCGAGAGCAAUGCCAGGUAAGUAAUCAGGCAAGGGGUUCCAGGCAGUCAGUUCCUGACUGGAAGCUUGAUUCCAAGUGCUGACUGAUUGUUCUCUUUCUCCUUAUCUUGCAAGUAAGAACAAAACCAAAGGAAAAGACAGGGAAAAAGCAUGAUAUGGGAUACUCUUGCUUUUAACCCUGAUGAUAUGAGAUACUCUUGCUCUGGUGUGGCUUGUUUGCAGAGGUAUUAUCGGGGGGAAAAGAAGCUGAGUAUUUCGAGAGACUCUGCUGAGAGUGCCCUCUCGGAUGUGAAGAAAAGUUGAGCAUUUUUUUUAUUUGCAGGUCUGCCUGGCUGUGGAGGAUGAAGGUCGACAUAUAUAGGAAUUCUCCCUAACAACAAGUAGUAAGUGCUAUUCCUUUACCCUUCUUGGUCAUAGCAAUGUAGUGGGAGCUGCAAAAUUCACGUGUUUUAACUUUGUCAGAGCACUUUGAAAAAAUGGUCUGUGGUAACUGGAAAGCUGAUGUUGCGUGUGAAGAUUGCAGACAAGCUUUAUCCAAGGAAAUCUAGCUCUCAAAGUUCGGAGAGCGGUGCCUCUUCGGUUUUCGAACAAGCAAUCUUGUCGGGAAUCUGGCUCUCGAGAUUUAGAAAACGGUGCCUUUUCGAUUUUUGAGAAAGCAAUCCUAUUGGGAGUCUUGCUCUUAAGAUUCGGAGAGCGGUGCCUAUUCGAUUUUUGAGCAAGUAAUCAUGUUGGGAGUCUGGCUAUCAAGAUUCGGGGAGAUGUGCCUCUUCAAUUUUUAAGCAAGUAAUCCUGUUAGGGAUCUGGCUCUUGAGAUUCGGAUAAUGGUGCCUCUUCGAUUUUUGAGAAAGCAAUCCUGGUUGGAGUCUGGCUCUUGAGAUUCGAAGAGAUGUGCCUCUUUAAUUUUUGAGCAAGUAAUCCUGUUGAGAGUCUGGCUCUCGAGAUUCGGAGAGCUAUGCCUUUUCGAUUUUUGAGCAAGCAAUCUUGUUGGGAGUGUUUUCUCAAAUGUAAGUAAAUGUUAGGCAUUUUUGCCAGUCUGCUUUGCCACGGAGCAUGGAGGUUGACACACAUGGGGACUUUCCAGUUAUCAAGCAGUGGUGCUGUUCCUUUACCCUUGUGGGUAAUAGUAGGGUAGCUGGACCUUCAAAAUUUAUGUGUCUAAACUUUGUCAAAGAUCUUUGGCAAAUUAUUUGUGGUACUCGAGGAGCUGAUGUUGCGUGUAGGGAUUGUCGACAUAUUUUACUCAAGAAAAUUUGCUUCUCGAAAUUCGGAGAGUGGUGCCUUUUUUAUUUUUGAACCAACGGCCAUGUUGCCCUUUCUUUUAUAGGGGCACCAAUUGUGUGUCAGAAGUACGUUCAGAGAGUUAUUGCUUGUAGGAAUUUUUCCCCUAUUUUUGUACUUCAGAGAUUUAUUGCACCUCAUUUCUCCUUCAUCAUUUCUGAGAAUGUCUGGACCAUCCGACUGUCGUUUUGACUUUGAACUUAGGUGAAGAGGCAGACAUGCCUUCUUAAGACAACAUAUGGCGCCCAUCCUUCUUAUCCCCUACUGGUCAUCUUACCGUUGGGGACUCAGUGAUGAAGAAUGAUAUGACCGCUGCGGCGGUGGCCAUGAACCUUCUCACUCUAAAAAAUAACAGACUACUUUCUAACCGGUCUAAUGAGUUAGCUGUUAAGGAUUCUCUGGCUUUUAGUGUUCAGUGUGCAGGUUCUGUGUCUAAUAUGGCCCAACGCCUAUUUGCUCGAACCCGCCAAGUUGAAUCAUUGGCGGCUGAAGUGAUAAGUCUCAAACAGGAGAUCAGAGGGCUCAAGCAUGAGAAUAAACAGUUGCACAGGCUCGCACAUGACUAUGCUACAAACAUGAAGAGGAAGCUUGACCAGCUGCAGGAAUCUGAUGGUCAGAUUUUACUUGAUCAUCAGAGGUUUGUGGGUUUGUUCCAAAGGCAUUUAUUGCCUUCGUCUUCUGGGGCUGUACCGCGUAAUGAAGCUCCAAAUGAUCAACCUUCGGUGCCUCCUCCUUCUGGGGUUCUGCCUAGUACUGAGGCUCCGAAUAAUCACCCUCUGGUGCCUCUCUUUUCUGGGGCUCUGCCGACUGCUGAGACUUCUCCUGAGCAACCUUUGUGAAGGCUCCCUCUUGUUUGUUUAUUUUGAUUCAUGUAUAUGUACAUAUUUGUAACUUAUCGGAGAUAUCAAUAAACAAGCUUUGCUUCAUUUCAACGUAUUGUGUUAAAUACACCAAGGCAUUCUUCACUAAGUUCUUUGAAUUUUUUCUUUUUGUUGAAGCUUUUGUGAGUGAAAGCAUGUAUGUUGAGGUAGUGCUCCCUUAAUUUCCUGAGUGAGGAAAACUUCUCGGUUGAAGAGUUGAAAAAUCCAAGUCACUGAGUGGUCGUGAAACUUCCGAGUAUCAAGGUGCAGUAGCAUAUGGUAGGAGUCCCCCAAGUCUCCGGUCAAGGGAGUUGACGCAGGAGGUGUCUUGCUAGUAGCCAAGUUUCCAAAGUAACAAAACUUCACCAUUUUCCUUUCUAAGUGGUAGCCCAAAACUCAUCCUUCAUAUAUAUUUGUUAUGAAAGUUGUUAGGCCCAAAAAUAAAAGGCCUAGGCAAUUUUUUUUUUUGAAUUUUCAAAUUUUCGAAUUUUCGAAUUUUUGAAUUUCUGAAAAUAUAUAUAUUAAGCUUUGUAAGUGAAGCUUUGGUUUUGAAGCUUUGUAGGUGAAGCUUUGAGGUUGAAGCUUUGUUGGGUACCAUGAAUUGAUUUUGCUUCACACUAUCUUGAUCAAGAUAGUGUGAAGCUUUUGUAGGUGAAGCUUUUAGGUGGGUGAAGCUUUUGUGGUGGGAGAAGCUUUUGUUGGUGAAGCUUUUAUGGUUGAAGCUUUUGUAGGUGAAGUCUUUGUGGUGGGUGAAGCUUUUCUGUUUUUGUGGGUGAAGCUUUUAUGGUGAGCUUUUAUGGGUGAAGCUAUUAUGGGUGAAGCUUUUGUGUUGAAGCUUUGUAGGUGAAGCUUUGGAGUUGAAGCUUUUGUUGGGUACCAUGAAUUGAUUUUGCUUCACACUAUCUUGAUCAAGAUAGUGUGAAGCUUUUGAGAAUUUGUAGUUGUCUUCCGUUGAUGAAGCUUUUGUGAUGAAGCUUUGUUGGGUACCAUGAAUUGAUUUUACUUCACACUAUCUUGAUCAAGAUAGUGUGAAGCUUUUGAGAUUUUGUAGUUGUCCUCCAUUGAUGAAGCUUUGUUGAAUUUACUUCGAACAGUCUUUAUCAAGAGUGUGUGAAGCUUUUGAGAAUUAUGGUUGAACUCCUUUGAUGAAGCUCUUGUUGGUACCAUAAAUUGGUUUUGCUUCACACUGUCUUGAUCAAGAGUGUGUGAAGCUUUUGAGAAUUGUGGUUGCCCUCCAUUGAUGAAGCUCUUGUUGGCACCAUAAAUUGGUUUUGCUUCACACUGUCUUGAUCAAGAGUGUGUGAAGCUUUUGAGAAUUGUGGUUGCCCUCCAUUGAUGAAGCUCUUGUUGGCACCAUAAAUUGGUUUUGCUUCACACUGUCUUGAUCAAAAGUGUGUGAAGCUUUUGAGAAUUGUGGUUGAACUCCUUUGAUGAAGCUCUUGUUAGUCCCAUAAAUUGGUUUUGUCUUGAUCAAGAGUGUGUGAAGCUUUUGAGAAUUAUGGUUGCCCUCCAUUGAUGAAGCUCUUGUUGGCACCAUAAAUUGGUUUUGCUUCACACUGUCUUGAUCAAGAGUGUGUGAAGCUUUCUACGAGUUGUAGUGUUUGCAUUGUUACAGAGGGGAAAUGUCUGAAGCAGAUGCAAGAGGGCUGAAUAGCUUGAUCUUCGUAUGCCAUGCACUGAAGUUGUUGUUGGCUUGCAAUAAGACUUUGUUGGUGACUAUAACUCUUGUUGGGCAUAAGUGCUCACCUAGUUGAGUUGUCAAGCUUGAGGGUUUUUUUUUUAUUUGUGAAUGCUAGGAGUUCACAUGUACAAGUUGUACCACUCGUCUUCUGAUAAGUGGAAUGAAUGGUGAGUUGCUUUCAUCACUUGGUUGGUUGUACGAAGGUGAGUUCCUUCAUCACCUUUCCUCACAUUGCAUCACCUGGUUGGUGGCACGAGGAUUAGUUCCUUCUUCACCUGGUUGGUGGCAUGAAUGGCAAGUUGCCAAAUGAUAUUAGAGUACAAGUUGUACAUUUCAUCACCUGGUUGGUGGCAUGAAGGAAAGUACAGGUUGUACAUUUCAUCACCUGGUUGGUGGCAUGAAGAUGAGUUCCUUCUUCACCUGGUUGGUGGCAUAAGUGGCAAGUUGCCAAAUGAUAUUAGAGUACGGGUUAUACAUUUAAUCACCUGGUUGGUGGCAUGAAGGAGAGUACGGGUUGUACAUUUCAUCACCUGGUUGGUGGCAUGAAUGGCAAGUUGCCAAAUGAUAUUAGAGUACAGGUUGUACAUUUCAUCACCUGGUUGGUGGCAUGAAGAUGAGUUCCUUCUUCACCUGGUUGGUGGCAUAAGCGGUAAGUUGCCAAAUGAUAUUAGAGUACGGGUUGUACAUUUCAUCACCUGGUUGGUGGCAUGAAGGAGAGUACGGGUUGUACAUUUCAUCACCUGGUUGGUGGCAUGAAGAUGAGUUAUUUCUUCACAUUUCAUCACCUGGUUGGUAAGAAUAAGGGCAAGGUGUCGAAGCAUAUUGUAGCAAGUUUCGAAUGACACAAAGUAUGUUGAACCCUUUCGAAGCACAGUUGGCUUAAGUAUGAAUAUGUUGGAAUGUAUGAUUAAACGAAUAUACUGUGAAGCUGUUCGUAUAGUCUUGUUGGCAUACACUUAGACUUUGUUUCAUGUUGGAAGCAUUCAUGUUGAAGCUUUGAACCCGAGUGUUUCAUUGCUAGGAAUGUAAGAGGAUUAGGACCAAGUUGUCUAAAUCACCUCUUUAUUGAAUUCAUGCCGAAUAGUCUUCGUUACAUAGGAUGCCGAACAGCUGAAGCUUAACAUUUAUACAAUGUGAGUUUACUUGUAAUAGUACUUCAAGUGAUCAGCGUUCCAUGGAUGGCCAAGGGUCUUGCCAUUAGAGCUUCUAAGCUUGUAGAAGCCAGGGCUACUGAUGCCAACAACUUCAAACUGUCCAUCCCAGUUUGGACUAAGUGUUCCUUCACUCGGGACUCUGUCACAGAGUAAUCUUUUCUUCAAUACCCAUUCCCCCACUUUGAAAGAACGAGGUUUGACCCUUGAGUCAUAAUAGUUGGAGAUGCACUGCUUGUAGGUGACAUUCCUCAAGUGAGCCUGAUUUAUAUGUUUCUGGACUAGAUCUAAGUUGAGGGUAAGUUGUUUGUCAUUUUUGCUUUGCACGUAGUUCUGAACUCAGAACGUUGCUUGCUCAAGCUCAACUAGGACAACUUCCUCUGUACCAAAGGCAAGUGAGAAUGAGGUUUCUCCCGUUAAUGUCUGAUACGAAGUGCGAUAUGACCAAAAAACUUGGGGUACAAAUUCUGGCCAACAACCUUUAGCCUUGUCCAAGCUGGCUUUUAAAGUUAGCUUGAUUAUUUUGUUGAUAGCUUCAACUUGUCCAUUAGACUGGGGAUGAGCUGGGGAGGCAAAACAUAAGUUGAUGUUGAACUUAAAGCAGAACAUCCUGAACUUAUUGUUGUCAAACUAUCGCCCGUUGCAGUGACUAUCGCAUUGGGAAUGUCGAAUCUGCAAAGGAUGUUCUUCCAUAAGAAGUCUUCUAUUUUUACCUCAAUAAUGAUUGCCAAGGGUUCUACUUCGGCCCACUUUGUGAAGUAGUCAACUGCAACGAUUGCAUAGCGAACCUUGCCCUUCCCUACAAGCAUUGGGCCGAUCAUAUCAAGUCCCCAUUGGGCAAAGGGCCAAGGGCUGAUCAUAGGAGUGAGCGACUCGAGAGGGGAGUAAGGAAUAGUUACGUAGUGUUGACACUUAUCACAUGAGGGGGAUAUUUUGAUGGCAUCUUUGUGGAGUGUUAGCCAGUAAUAUCCUUGGCGAAAAGCCUUGUGUGCUAAGGAUCGAGAUCCGGCAUGAUCUCCGCAGACUCCUUCAUGUAUUUCCAGAAUGACAGUUUCCGCCUCUGCGGGCGUAAGGCAUCUUAGGUAUGGUAGGUUAAAACCCCGUUUGUAGAGUUGGUCAUUAAUGAUCAAGUAACGAGUAUCCUUGUAUCGAAUCUGCUUAGCUUGGACUUUGUCAUUUGGAACGGUGUCAUGAGCAAGGAAUCUAUUAAUUGGGGUAAUCCAAUUAUCCCUCUGUUGUAAGUUGCACACUUCCGCAACUAUGGUGCUUGGUGUUGCCAACAAUUCGACCUGAAUCUUUCUCCCAAUCUUGUCUUGCACCGAUGAGGUGAGGCAAGCCAAAGCAUCUGCAUGACUGUUUGCCGCUCGAGGAAUUUGGGGGAUCUGGUAGUGGAAGUGCUAAAGCAACAAUUGUGUUUGUGCCAAAUAUGCUGCCAUGAAGCUAUCCUUAGCGUCAAAGUUGAUGGUGACCUGGUUAACCACCAAUUGGGAGUCACUGAAGAUAUCAAUUUGUUUAACCCCAAGGUGUUUGGCCAAACGUAAGCCUGCUAGGAGGGCUUCAUAUUCGGCCUCAUUGUUCGACGCCUUGAAUUUGAAACGAAGAGCAUACUCCAUCGCUUCUUUGUUAGGGGUCGUAAGGAUUAAUUCUACUCCACAACCUUGUUGGUUGGAUGAACCAUCAACAUAUAGACUUCAUGUUGGGGCUUUUGGUUCUAUUUUCUGAGUUUCCGAGGGUAAUGAAACCACUUCUUUAGGCGUAGAAACAAUGUCAACAGGAUAUGUGAAGUCGAUGAUGAAGUCUACCACUGCUUGGCCCUUUUAAGUUGGCUUUAGUUGGUAAGAAAUGUCAAACUCACCCAAUGCUAUUGCCCAUUUGAUCAUUCGCCUGGAAGUGUCAGGACUUUGGAGUAUCUGUCAAAGAUGAUGAUUGGUAAGCACGAUGAUGGAGUGUUCUUGGAAGUAAGGGCGAAGUUUUCGAGCAGAUAUGACCAAUGCUAGAGCCAAUUUCUCAAUGUUGGAGUAUCGUGUCUCUGCAUCUUGUAAGGCCUUGCUAACGUAGUAGACAGGUCGUUCGACAUUACCAUCAUUUCGAAUGAGAACAGAACUUACUGCUGAAGCCAAUACCGACAGAUAGAUAAUGAGAGUGUCACCAACCUCAGGUUUGAAGAGGAGAGAGGUUUUACUCAUGUAGUCUUUGAGGUUCUUGAAUGCCUCAACAUAUUCAUCAGUCCAUGUAAUGUACUUCUUACUUCCCUUGAGCGCUUUGAAAAGAAAGGAGCACAUCUGUCUGUAGCCUUAGAGAUGAACCUAGUUAAGGCUACCACCUAUCCAAUAAAGCUCUGGAUGUCUUUUGAAGCUACCGGUUCCUUCAUGUCGAGGAUUGCUUUGAUCUUCUCGGGAUUAGCCUCAAUGCCUCGUUGGCUUAUCAUGAAGCUUGAGAAUUUGCCAGAGCCUACGCUAAAGGCACAUUUGUUGGGGUUCAACCUCAUUCGAUACCUCUUCAAAAUGGUGAAAGUUCCAGAUAGGUUGGUGAUGUGUUGGUCAGCAUGUUUGCUCUUGACUAACAUAUCAUCAACGUAAACUUCCAUGCCCUUCCCAAUCUGUUCGGCGAACAUUGAAUUGAGCAGUCUCUGAUAAGUUGCUCUUGCAUUCUUUAGGUUGAAUGGCAUGACUUUAUAGCAAUAUAGUUACCUUUCAGUAGUGAAGGCUAUGUGUUCUUGGUCUGGAGGGUUCAUAAGGAUUUGGUUGUAUCCUGAGUAAGCAUCCAUGAAGCUUAAAAGUUCACACCUUGCCGUAAAGUCUAUAACUUUGUCUAUGAGAGGAAGGGGAAAGCUAUUAUUCGGGCAUCCUUUGUUUAGGUCGGUGUAAUCAACACACAUUCUCUAUAAGACCUUUAGAGCAAGAGACUUUCCUUGGUCAAAAUCUUCUUAACAAGGACAACAUUUGCUACCCACGUUAGAUAAUUGACUUCAUGGAUGAAGCCUAUGCCUUUGAGUUUUUCAACUUCUGCCUUAAUUGCCUCGUACCGUUCAACGUCAUAAGAUUUUCGUUUCUGUCUCACUGGCUUGGUCUUAGGGUCAACACUUAAGCGAUUACAGAUGAUAUCGGGAAAGAUGCUUGGCAUGUCCUCGUAUGACCAGGCGAAAUCCUCAGUGUUCUCUUGCAAAAAAGAGAUCAAAGCCAACCGAAUGGGUGGUGACAAGGUGGUGCCAAUCUUCACCAUGCGAUCCGAAUAAUCUUUUGAGAUAAAGACCUUCUCUAACUCUUCAACGGGUUGUGCUUGCUGGGUGAAAUAGUCAUCUCAAUGAUCGUCGAGUUGACUGUUGCCACCAUGAAGGUCCAAGUUGGCUUCGUCUGGGCUGCUCUUUAUGACUUAGUUUUGUAUAAAAAGGGUUUCCUUGGGCAUAGGCAGGUGUUGUUACUUAACCGAAGUGUUGUAACAUGAUCGUGCACUAAGUUGAUCUCCUCUGAUGUAACCAUUGCCACAGGGGGUUAAAAAUUUCAUCAACAACAUAUGUGUGAAUACCAUGGCCUUGAGAUCAUUGAUGCCUGUGCGUCUGAAGAUGACAUUGUAUGUCGUUGAGCAAUCAAUCACCAGGAAGUUAGUGGUAAUGGUAACUAUGUAAGGGCAUGUACCAAUGGUAAAAGGUAAGUGUAUGCUCCCUAAAGGUUGCAUGAUAUCAUCGGAGAAGCUUAUCAUAGGGGAAAUCGAGUGAUCGAGCAAGUGUUCAGCUACAUUAAGUGCCCUGAAAGCUUCAGCAAACAUGAUAUUGACCGAAGCCCCCGUGUCUACCAGGAUUCGUCAUACUUCAAAGUUGGCUAUGUGAGCUUCCACGAUCAAUGGUUCGUUAUGAGAGUAAAUGAUACAUCUUUCUUCCUCAGGGUAGAAACAUAUUUGAUCCCAGUUAGGCUUUUGAUACUUACCUUCCCUGAUGUCUUCCACGUGAAGCACUUGGUGGCCAGACCUUAAAACUCGUUCACUAUUUUUCAUGGCCAUGUUGGAAGAUUUAGAUAUGGGUGUGCAACCACUUAUAGAAUAUAUCACAUUCACCUGGCGUUGGUUACGGUUACCCCUUUGAGGGUGAAGGAGGAAUUGAUCAAUUUUUCCUUCAGGUGCCAAAGCUUCAAUAUGAUCACGAAUGAUGAUACACUUCUCGCCGUCAUGGCCGUUAUGCUCGUGGUAGCAGCAAAAUGUGCCCGUGUUUUUCGUGGGCUUGUAAUCUGGGUGCCUCGGCUUUGGCUUCGGUAUCAGGUGUGCUAUGCUGGGUAAAUGGCCACGUAUGUGGCGUUCAAAUGUGUGUAUGCCUCAUACCUCGGGGUAGGGGCAGUCCUGACACGUGCUUGACCUAAUGUGUUGACUGCCUGGGGUCGGGGAUUCUCAUGGCGAUACCCUUGGUUAUCGCGGUAGUGUCCCUUACUUCUUUUACUAAAAUGAGACUAAUGAGGAUGAAAAUCUUUCCUUUUGCCCGGAGAUUGAUAUGUUUGUUGACUUGGCAAAGUAUUAAGUAAAGCAGGGGGAGGCAUCGCUGCCGCUUGAAAGGUCGAGGUCUUCUCAUUUGGUUGGAUCUGGCCUCCACUCCCUACUUGCUGAUAAGGGGUGGCUGUGGGGGGGUUUCCCUUGAUAUGUCAUUGCCUCGGCGGAGGCAUGGUUGUAAACCUGUGCCAUCACCUCAGAGUAAGUCUUCCAAGUGUUGGCAUUGAUCAUGUACUUGAAGAAACAAUCACGUAGGCCUGCCGUGAAGGCCUUGAGGGCGGUUUUGUCAUCUGCCUCAGUGCAGCGAGAAUACUCAUAGCUGAAAUGACCGUAAUACUCUUGUAGUGACUCGUCCAGCUUCUGGCAAAUAAUGUAUAAGUCAUCUGCAGAAUGCAAGCGAUCGGUCUGGAAGAUGUGUUGAGAGACAAACAGUUUUCUCAAUUCCUCAAACGAGUCUACUGUCUCAGGUGGAAGACAGCAAUACCAAUUUAGAGCUCCACCAGAAAGGGUGGUGGGGAAGAGAAGACAUCGCUCUUCGUCGGUGUGCAUCCGAUAUGCCAUGGUGGACUCAAAGAGGUUAAUAUGUUCAAUUGGGUCCUCCCUUCCAGUAUAGAGUUUUAAACCAAGCUUUUGUUUUGUCUUAGCUUGAAAGGGGGGUGUCGAUGAUCCUCCUUGUGAGAGGGCCAAGUCUAGGUUGGUUCCAGUCAGGUAUCUCGGCCUAACGUUCGGCUUUCAAAUUGUUUAUUUCCGCAAUGAGCUGUAGGACAAGGGGGUCCUGAGUGGAGUCAUGUACCAUUGGGAUUUUCUUUCGUAAGUCUCUAUCGCCUCUUGGAAGUAGGAAAGUUUAAGCAAGGGCGUGUGAUUUUUCCUUGGACUCACCGUAUUGACUUCUAGGGCGAGUCUGUCGGAAUACCUCAGAGUCUCUUGUACUUUCAUGUUCUUCUAUGACCUGUCGCCCAUUCCCCAAAUUGGUAGUCGGCCUGGGACAUGUGAAGGGACCUAGUCUUUCAGAGACCCUUGGGUCAUUAAUCUUCGAGCUUACAUGGAUGGGAUUGUCUCGACGUUGCUUUAGGAAAUCUCGACAGUCACGAAAGACGGCUUUCGAUCCUUCCCCUCCUUCUGUAAAUAUGUGUCUUCCUCCACUUCUCCUACUUCGGGUAAAAGCAGCUGGGUUGAGAGAAGUCUCGUGUUGAUCAAUGUUUUGAUCAUUAGCUCGCUCCUCAUCAGGGAUACCCAUUGAAGGAAUGUGACCCUCCGUGUUGGGAGGCACCCAGAUGAUGGUUGAUGUCCAUAUGGGCAACAAGCUCGCGUGUUUGAGUACGCCUAGUUUCGUGGAGCGUCUUAAAGAGCUUUUCAUACUGCUCCUAGAUGACCUCAUUCUUCAUUGCUAUCUUGUUGUUUUGAGCUUCUAGCUCAUCGACUUUAGCUUGAAGAGCAACCCUCUUUCUUUCUUUCUUUCGUUGCUUUGCACUAGGUGCAAGAGGGGUGUCAUUCUGUGUGAUGUGGCUUCUUUCGUUCCCCAUGUUGGAGAGGGAUGCUUGGUCGAAAAAGAGUGUACGAAUGGUGGAAACCAGCUUAACAAAGCUGAGGAAACCAGCUUAACAAAGCUAAAGAUAGUGGGAAUAAGUGUCGUUCCCACAGACGGUGCCAAAUGUUGAUGCACAAAAUCAGUGAGGACUUUGGUACAACAUAAAGUGUUAAGUUUGUGACCUUCGCUAGAUUGCUCCGGUCACUAGUAUGGAUAAGUAUGUAAAUGGAUAGGGACAAGGAAGCAAACACAAGAUGUACAUGCUUCACCCAAAUUGGCUACGUCCACAGAGUAGAGGAGUUCUCAUUAAUUGUGAAAGGUUUACACAAGUACAUAGGUUCAAGCUCUCCUUUAAUGAGUACUAGUGAACGAUUUAGUACAAAUGACAUUAGGAAAUAUUGUGAGAGAAUGAUCUCUAUUUAUAGAAGAGAGUUUCUAGUUUCAUUCUGACAUUGACACGUGUCGUGUUGUGAUUGGCUUCUGUUGUUGACACAUGUCGUGCUAUGAUUGGCUUCUGAUGUCAACACAUGUCGCGCUAUGAUUGGCCUCUUGGUUGGGGGUAAACUCUUCUGGGUCCUUGACAGUAUAACGUUGACUAGUGCUCAGUAGUUUCGGGAUUGGUCAAGUAUGGUACAAACAAAUGUCAUGUGAAUUUAUACACUUAUAUUUAUUUAUUAUAUUAUUUAAAAUUUUAAGCAAUUUGCUAAAACAACUUUCUAAAAUCAUCAAUUUUAUUUGCACAUAACUUGUGUGUAGGAUAAUUUUAGACAUUUCAACACAAAAAAUGUCAUUCAACUUUACCAUUGAUUAGAGGAUCACCAAUGACUAUUUUUUAGUCAUCUUUACUUCCAAACACAUAUAAGCGUGUGCAGGUCAUUCUUCUUUUUCGAACGGAAAACCCUCAUAUCCUCAUAUACCAAAUCAACCCUCCAAUUUUGUAUUUAUUGAGAAAUCCUAAAAUUAUUUUUGUUGAAGACAAUUUGUAAUAUCCCACAUUGCCCAGGGAAGUGGAUCAUAUAAGCCUUAUAUGUAUAUUCCCAUCAUGAUGAGUGACCCACUAGGAAGUUCUCGUGUGAGUUCCUAGAAACAAAACCGUGAGAGCAUGGUCGGGGCCCAAAACAGACAAUAUCGUGCUACGGUGAAGUCGAGCCCAGGAUGUGGUGGAGGCCCGGGCCGGGAUGUGACACAACUUAUUAGAAGGGAAAUGAGAUGUUGAAAUGGCCGAAAUAACCCUGCACAUAACUCAUAUGGUUGGAAAUUUAACGGAAUUAUCGUGAAAGGAAAAAAUAAAGAUUUCGAAAAGCUAGUGUGACAAAUCGAUUAAAAUUUCAAUUCAUAUGACAAAAACAAAAAUAUAUAUAUAUAUAUAUAUAUAUAUAUAUAUUCGUAUGAUAUUUAAAAAUAAAUAAAAAAUUAAAUCAGUAUUAGAAACAGGAGAAAAACUUGUGUGGGGUUUAGCUUGUCAUUAGACUUCGCUGAAUGGCACUACAAUCCACUUAAAACUCGCCACGUGGCAAAUCUUAAACAUAAUUUUUUAUCAUUCUUUUUUAUUUAAAAUUCUCAUAAUUAUUUUUCUACUAAUUAAUAUAUUAUAUAUAUCAAUCUAAUGUUUCCAUUUUUUUCAUUCUUUCCCCAUUUUUUUCAUUCUUUCCCCCUUUUUUUUCUUCCCAAAUUUCCCUCCACUUUGUUUUGUCGUUCUCUUCACUGUCUUUCCCACUUCUUUCUCUCUCCCAAUUAUGGUUCUUGCUUUUUAUGAAAUUCUGCACUUUUUUCUUCCAAAAAUUUCUUUGCUUUCUUUCCCCCCACUGUCUCUCCUCUCUCCAAAUACCCUAAUUCAUAUUAUAAACAUAAAAAACCAAGCACCCGAACCGAAAAACCCCUAAUUAAAGGAAAAAAAAACUUACAGAUUCUUGGCUAUUUUCCAUGAAAAAAUUGGAGUGGGUGUAGAUUUAUUUUAUUUAUUUUUAUUAUUAUUUUAUUUUUUAAAGAAAGCAAGAAACAAAACUAGGAGACAAAGAAGUGGGAGAUAGUACUGAAGACCUACAACAAAACAAAAUGGAGAGGAAUUUGGGAAGAAACAAAAUAGGGGGAAAGCUAAAAAAAAAAAAAUGAAACAUUAGAUUAAUAUAUAUUAAUUAGUAGAAAAAUAAUUGUCACAUCCCAACCCUAACUCCACCACAUCUCGGGCUCGACUCCGCCGUAACACGAUAUUGUCCACUUUGGGCCCCAACCACACCCUCACGGUUUUUUUUCUGGGAACUCACGGAAGCAAAACUUCCCAAUAGGUCACCCAUCCUGGGAAUACUCUAGCCCCUUUCUCACUUAACUUCGGAAUUCAUACGGAACCCGACGCCAUUGAGCUCCCAAAAAGCCUUGUGCUAGGAAGAUAUGAGAAUAUACAUAUAAGGCAUAGACGAUCCACUCCCAUGGGCGAUGUGGGAACUAAAAAUUGUCACAUCCCAACCCAGGCUCCACCAUAUCCCAAGCUCGACUCCUUCAUAGUACGAUAUUGUCAACUUUGGGCCCUAACCACACCCUAACGAUUUUUUUUCUGGGAACUCACACGAGCAGAACUUCCCAGUGGGUCACCAAUCCUGGGAAUGCUCUAGCCCCUUUCUCGCUUAACUUCGGAGUUCUUACGGAACCCGAAUCAAGUAAGCUCCCAAAAGGCCUCGUGCUAAGAAGAGAUGAGAAUAUACAUAUAAGGCAUAGAGGAUCCACUGCCCUGGGCGAUGUGAGAUCUAACAAUCUACCCCCGUUAGGGGCCUGACAUCCUCGUCGGCACACUUCCGGCCAUGAAUUGGCUCACCAAAUUGUCACAGCUUGGCCCCGACUCCACUGUAUCCUGGGCUCGACCGUAGCACGAUAUUGUCCACUUUGAGCCCUGAUGCGAAAAUUAACUUAACACACAAAUUUAACCCUCUUUUGACAAUUGUAGUAUAAGUAUAAGUAGGGAUCGUUCUGGACCGGGGAUUAGGAGGGCUUGCUAAUAACCUCUAAACUGACUCAAAAACAUAAAACUAAAUUUAAAAACACUUAACAAGACUCACAAGACUCAAAGCAAACUUAAAAUACUCAAAACAGCUUAAAACAACCAAAUAAACUUAAACUAGACACUAGGAAUGACUUUGGACGAAAAUUGACUUUUACUUGAAUCAAAACAUUUAAAAACACAAAUUAAAACAGAUUCUAACUAAUUAGACAUACUAAAGUAAAGGGGGAGUGAGUUUUGGACGAAGUUGAAACAAACAAACAAGUAUGAAAAACUAGACAGAUUGUAAAACAAAUUUGAGAAAUAAGAUGAUGGAUGGGAUAGCUAGAGGCUUUUUCUCCACACAUGAUAUGUAUGCAAACAACUCGAUUUCUAGUUACUACUUCAUUGAAUUACGAACGACAAUGCUCCAAAUUAACCGUGACACCACUAGUUAACUCUCAGAUUUUCCUUGUUUUAUUGGAUUGGAUGACAUCAUUCGACAACCCAAAACAUUCUUCUAAAGUUCCCUACAUGACAUCAUAAUAGAGAUACAAUCAAAGAUCAUUACGUUUAAUGAAAAUCAUAAGCAUUGACAAAGUACUUGCAACUAUGACAUCAUGUCACUCAUGCUAGGAAUUGAACUUAACACGAUAGUUUAUAAGCGACCUUCACUACAUGUGAAUAUAACUUUGUAACGAUUAUGUGAAACUUCCUUAUAUUCUAGAAACGAAUUUAUGCAUGCCAAUUAAGUGUCGACCCUUAAUUAACAAAUACAAAUAAGUUAUCAAUCAAAUAGUUAAGCCAAUUGCAUUCACAAUUCAAGAGUUCAUAACUGGAAUUUAUCAAAUUAUAUUGCACACAUAAUCAUGGCUUUGAAAUCACCCCUAGCCAAGAGGGGUUUAGCCACUCAUAUUUACAACAAAACGAAAGGAAAUGAAUUUAAACAUUAGAAACAAAAGAAAAAACACCUAAACGCUUCAACGAUCCAAGUUGGACAGCAAGCACGUACAAGCACUUUCCUUCCCUUCCUUUGCUACGGCACAAGGUGUUGGUGAGUGUUUGAAGGUGUUUGAAGGUUUGUUUGUAUGGAGGAAUGGAUGUGAAGAUGAAUGGAUGUGUUUGGAUGAACGUUGUGUUGAAAUGGGAGUGAAUGAUCUAACCAAGUAUGAACUAAAUUUAUGUUACACACACUUCCUUUUAUAGAGGAAGUGCAUGGCAAUGGAGGGGAACAUGGAGUGGUGUAGCAAUUGAGUGCAAUGAUGCAAUGUAAUGAUGCAUGAAAUCUGAAAUGAUAGAGGGAACAAGGAAUUGAGUGCAAUGAUUUAAUGUAAUGAUGCAUGAAAUCUGAAAUGAUGGAGGGAACAAGGAAUGGUGUAGCAAUUGAGUGCAAUGAUUCAAUGUAAUGAUGCAUGAAUCUGAAAUGAUGGAGGGAACAAGGAAUGGUGUAGCAAUUAAGUGCAAUGAUUCAAUGUAAUGAUGCAUGAAUCUGAAAUGAUGGAGGGGACAAGAAUGAUUAUGCAUGGCAUGGGUGGAAAGGUGAGUAAGUGGUGAAUCAAUGAGUGCAAUGAGGUGAAAGAAUAUUGUACACAUGGUAGACAAAGGAAAGGAAGUGGAAUGAUACAACAAAUGAGUCAAUGGAGGGAACAUGGAUGAUGAUGCACGACAUAGGAAUCCAAAGGGAAUGCAAUGGUGGUGCACAACAAUGAUGGAAAGGUGAAUUGUGGAGUGACACCCUUUUGUGGCUGAGCUCUCUGUCCUUUUUACAUUAAUUCUUCUUUCUCUUUAACACAUUCCUAGCCUCUUUAGUCUUCAAUUUCGUCCAUCCACCUUGCUCCAUGCAUGUGCUAUUCAUUCCAAGCCCAAAACUGCACCAAAAUGCAUCUUAUUGCUUUAUAAGGCCUAUGGACCUACAAGCACAUGAAAAAUAGCUUAAAAUACAUAAUUAACUAAGAAAUAACAACAUAAUGCAUGAGAACAAGCUAACUCAGACGCAUAAAUAUGCUCCUAUCAAGCCUCGACCACGCCCUAACGGUUUUGUUUCUGGGAACUCACGCUAUCAGAACUUCCCAGUAGACACUUCCGGCUAGGAAUUGGCUCUCGUACCAAAUUGUCACAGCCUAGCCCCGCCUCCGUCGUAGCACAAUAUUGUUCGCUUUAAGCCCCGACCACACCCUAACGGUUUUGUUUCUGGGAACUCACGCAAGCAAAACUUCUCAAUGGGUCACCCAUCCUGGGAAUGCUCUGGCCCAUUUCUCGCUUAACUUCGGAGUUCCUACGGAACCCGAAGCCAAUGAGCUCCCAAAAUGCCUCGUGCUAGGAAGAGAUGGGAAUAUACAUAUAAGGCAUAGAGGAUUCACUUCCCUGAGCGAUGUGGGAUCUAACAAUUGUCACAUCCGACCCAGGCUCCACCACAUCCCAGGCUUGACUUCGCCAUAGAACAGUAUUGUCCACUUUGGACCCCAACCACGCCCUCACGGUUUUGUUUCUAGGAACUCACGCAAGCAAAACUUCACAGUGGGUAACCCAUCCUGGGAAUGCUCUAACCCCUUUCUUGCUUAACUUCGGAGUUCCUACGGAACCUAAAGCCAGUGAACUCCCAAAAGGCCUCGUGCUAGGAAGAGAUGAGAAUAUACAUAUAAGGCAUAGAUGAUCCAUUCCCCUGGGUGAUGUGGGAUCUAACAAUUGUCACAUCCCGACUCGAGCUCGACUCUGCCGUAGCAUGAUAUUAUCCGCUUUGGGCCCCGACCACGCCCUCACAGUUUUGUUUCUGGGAACUCACGUAAGCAGAACUUCCAAGUGGGUCACCUAUCCUGGGAAUGCUCUAGCCUCUUUUCUCACUUAACUUCGGAGUUCCUACAGAACCCAAAGCCAGUGAGAUCCCAAAAGGCCUCGUGCUAAGAAGAGAUGAGAAUAUACAUAUAAGGCAUAGAGGAUCCACUUCCCUGUGCGAUGUGGGAUCUAACAAUCCACCCCCUUAGGGGCCUGAUGUCCUCGUCGGCACAUUUCCGGCCAGGAAUUAGCUCUGAUACCAAAUUGUCACAGCCUGGCCCCACAUCCGCCGCAUCCCAGGCUCGACUCCACCUUAGCACAAUAUUGUCCUCUUUGGGCCCCGACCACGCCCUCACGGUUUUGUUUCUGGGAACUCACGCAAGUAGAAAUUCUCAAUGGGUCAGUCAUCCGAGGAAUGCUCUAGCCUCUUUCUCACUUAACUUUGGAGUUCCUACGAAACCUGAAGCCAAUGAGCUCCCAAAAUGCCUCGUACUAGGAAGAUAUGAGAAUAUACAUAUAAGACAUAGAGGAUCCACUCCCUUGAACGAUGUGGGAUCCAACAAUAAUUAUGAAAAUUUUAAAUAUAAAAAAAUGAUAAAAAUUAUAUUUAAGACUUACCACGUGGCAAGUUUUGAGUAGGUUGUAAUGUCAAUCAACGAAGUCCAGUAACAAAUCAAGCCCCACGCAAAAUUUUCUCUGAAAACGGAGGAGGUCAUGAGUAAAACCAAAAACCACGUACGGCUUCGUUGUCGCAGAAAAUUGCCAUAACAAAUAAGGCGCAGAAAAACACGUGAUUAGCAAAUGGAAUUUAUAUAAGAUUUGGCUUAUAUUUAGUCUUUUUUGUCAUUUUGGAUGGAAGUUUAUAUGCUAAUGCAAAAUCUAGCAUUGUUAGAGAGCUACAGAAAAUCAUUGGAUUCACUUCAAAUUUGGACCACCACAUCAUUACAAACCCUAGCCAUGUCCUUAAACAUCAAACUAUGCAUUAAAAAAUAAAUAUUGCUAUUGCCAGUGUCAAAUAACAAAGAAAUUUUUUCAGUAUGCCGGGAACAAGAUGCGGUACACUAAGUGUCAUAAUACAAUUGAUUGGAAUUUUUUUAUUUUUUUUAUGUUUUCAACUAAUUAUAUUACUAUAUUUAGUGUAACGAACUGCAUUCCCAACACAAUGAAAAUUCUUCACCAAUAAAGACUAUUUGUCUCAAGUAACAUGGACCCCUUAAUUUUUUUUUUUUUUUUCAUUUCUAUUUGUUAAUCUGGGUCAAUGCAAAAUCGCACAUUUCACAACCACUGUAAGUGCUAAAAUAGAAACCCAACGGUCUUUGUUUCAUUCAUUUCAAUCACUUUCCAUCCCUCCUACAACCACCACCCAAAUCCACUUGUUUACAUAGUGAGUGAGAAGACUUCUUUUUCUUUUUUUUUGUCAAAGAGUGAGAAGACUUUUACCCCAAUAAAUUCCUAAGUAAUACAUUAUUAUCACACUAUUGUUUCUCUUUGUUCACUACCCUGCCUAUUUCUAUAUCAUAAUUUUGCUUUAUUUUUUCAAUUUAAAAACUAAUAAAAAAAACAAAAAAGAGAACAUGUUAGAAGACUAAAUAUAUAGACUAAAUAUAUAACUAAAUUAUGUGUCAUCAAUAUGAAUAAAUAUUUUUAUCAAAGCUUAAGUAAUAAUUCAAUCAUUAACUUUCAUAUAUUUAUUUACAAAUUUAAUCCAUCUACAAUUACCCAAAAAAAUAACUGUAAGUACGAAAAUCGAAGCUCACAAAAUUUUUGAGAUCAUGGUUAUUUGGGUGCCACUGUUGGAACUUCUUUACAAAAUAAAAAAUUUUGAGAGGCAAGUAAGAGAUGAAAGCUCUAUCGAAUUAUCCAAAAGAACGCUAGUGAAUUCAGGAAUCGAUCCUGUACAAAGGAUCGAUAUAUAAAACACAAAGAUAUACACGUCAUUAUCUAUGAUAAUUAUUAAUAUUUAUUAAUCUUUUUCAUAUUUAUAUAUGUUACAAGUUACCAACUAAAAAGGAAAAUAAAAAGCACCAGCCUAACAAAAUUCCACAGCUUAUCUCUGUAGAUAGAUGUUAGCGUAAAUUGUAACAAUGGUUCUUUAAUUUUAACUCAAUUGGAACUAUGAUUCCUCAACUAAAAAUUCAUUACCAUUGGUUCCUCAACUCAUCAAAACGUGCAGCUAUAGUCCAUCAACUAAAAAUUCAUUUCCAUUUGUCUCUCAACUUUAAUCGAACUGGUUCCUCAAUUCAUCAAAUCGUGCAGCUAUAGUCUCUCAACUAAAAAUUCAUUUCCAUUUGUCUCUCAACUUUAAUCGAACUGGAGAAAUGAUCUCUUAACUUUAACUUAAUUCGAGCAAUGAUCCCUCAACUUUAACCCAAUUGUAGCAAUAAUCCUUCCAACAUAACUUGUUUUGACAAAAUUCUAACGAAAUUAAUGAAAAUUAUCAUAGCUACACGUUUUGAUGAGUUAAAGAACCUCAAUUGUAGCAACGGUCCUUCCAACAUAACUCAUUUUGACAAAAUUUUGAUUAAGUUAAUGAAAAUGAUCAUAACUACACAUUUUGAUGAGUUGAAGGAUCAAUGGUAAUGAAUUUUUAGUUGAAGGAUCAUUACUCCAAUUUGAGGAACUAUUGCUAUAAUUUACUCUAGAUGUUAUAGUUCACUUCAGUGCAAGAAAGAUACUACACAGUAACACAUGAACAGAACAUGGUAAUUGGUACUUGAACAUUUUUUCCCAUAUUCCCAUUCUACCCUUGACAUUGCUCACUUUUUACAUGAUAGAGCAGGCAUUAGGGUUCUCAUCACUGAAGAUCUGAGGUGGGUAGGCAUACUGUUCCAUGAUCUGAGGUGGGUUUGCAUACUGUUCCAUGAUCUGAGGUGGGUAGGCAUAGUGUUCCAUGGCAUACCUUGGUGGGUAAGAAUAGUUUUCAUUCUUCUUCAUCAGCUCCACCACCUUGGUCUCUUCUGCGGCAGCUCCUUCCGGUGCACCACCAGCGGCCGCGGCGGCAGCUUCAUUGUUGUCACCUUUAUUUUCCUUGUUCUCUUCUGCUUUCGCUUCAUCGCCACCACCAUCUUUGCCCUUCUUAUCUUUGUCACCUACUUCACCACCUUUCUUCUCAUCUUUGGCUUUUUCUUUCUCUUUCUUCUCCGGUUCUUGCUUCACGAUCGCCGCGUGCUUCCCGGUUCUUUUGUGCACAUAAUCAACUAGCUUAGGCGGAUCAAACACACCCUUCACUGUCACCUCUGAGCUCUUAAGAUCUGCCUCAGCAGAUUCCACUCCUAAAAAAGUAAUACAAAAGAAAAGCACACAAACAAGAUUAAUUGGAAAAUCGCUCGAAUAAAAUAAUUAUUUUAAAAACAGAAACUUUUGGAAAUAAUUUAAAGUUGGGAUUGGUGGGAUUUGGUCUUGGAAGAGAAUUAAAUUGACUUUAAUUGGACUUGAUUUUUGUGAACUCUAGAAAUUAAUGAAUUAUAUUAUUGAAGAUGAAGAAUGAAUUGACAUUGAAAGAUUGGUCAUUAUUGAUAGAAUAAUAAACUCUUUUUUUAAAGAGAUUCACAAAAAAGAAAAUUAAUAAAAGUUCAGGACCGUUAAUUGCCAACGCAUCCAUACUCCAAAUUUCCCAUUUUUUAAUUUGUGGAAAGUUAGAAAAUGCUUGAACCAAAAUCUGAAAAAGGAUCAAAGACAUAAUCGUUUUUUUCUUUUUAUUUUUUGGGUUUUGUUCUUAUCUCUCUGAGAAAAGAAAACCAAAAUAAAAAUUUGAGUACACCUUUUAUUCUGAGAAUGCGUUUCUUGAUUUCUUGGGCACAGGCGUCGCAAUGCAUGUGAACUUUCAGCACCACUGUGAUUACCUGGGGCUGCAACAAAACAAAAAAUAAUUAAACCCAUCAAAUUGAAAGAAAAAAAAAUCAAUUAAAAUGGCAAUGGAAAAAAUUCUGCAAAAUGAUUAAAAUAUUUGAGUGGACUGAGAACCUCUUCUUUCUUUUCCUCUGGUUUGGGCUUCUCUUUCUCCUCCGCCGGCGGUUUUGGGAUUGGAAAGAGAAGCUCCACCUGCCGGUGGCUCUUCCUCUGAACUCUUUCAAGAACCUUAAUUGGUUCAGCCUUCUCUCCCUUCACCACCACCUUGUGAGUCUUGCAAUCUGUGCUCACAUCUUCCACCCCUGAAAAUUAAAAAAUUAAAUCAAACACAAAUUAAUCCCCCAACCCAAUAUUCCAAUAACGCAAACACAAAAACAAACCUUGAAAUCCUUUGAGGCACCGCUUGACCUUGCGAGCACAUCCCUCACAAUGCAUAUAAACUUUGAGCACAAUUUCUUGGGGUGGCGGCGGAGGCGGAGGAGCGGUGGCGGCAUCACCCUCCUUGGCCUCUGCUUUCCCAUCUUUUCCCUCCUCGGCUUUCUCCUUCUUUUGCUCGGCAGCCUCAGGCUUCUUCUCCUCCGCCUCUGGCUUCUUCUCCUCCAUUUUCUUCUCCUCUGGUUUCUUCUCCUCCUAAACCAACACAAACCCAAAUACAAAAACAAACCCAAUAAACAAAAGAUACAAACUUCGAGAGAAACAAAUCAUAUUAAAAAAAAUAUAUAUAUAUCAAAUCAAAAAUUGAUUAUUAAAGUUGUAGGACCUCCCCCAUUGGUGUAGUUCAAUUGUUAAGUUUUACUCUGUUUUUAAAAUCUCUCCUCUCUCUCUCUCUCUCUCUCUCUCUCUCGAUCUCUCGAGUGGCAUGGGAGCUCAGCUUUCUCUAUAUUUGCGAGAAAUGGGCACUCUCUCUUUUGUGUUUGUUUUUUUUGGUUAAAACUCUCUUUGUGCUUUGUAUUAAACUUUGAGUCACAUAUUUGGGUCCCUCAGAUCUGUAGCCAAAAGCCACUCGGUUCUAUCUCUCUCAUCAUCAUCCAACUUCUGCAAUUUUCUAACCCCAUGACGUGGCAUUGUUGAGUGCCCAUGUGUGCGCAGAAAUUAAUAUUUACUGCACUCUGUGAUUAAAUUGUUUUGUUUUUUGUUUUUUUGGGGCAUUUCUGGAAUAUUCUACCACUUGUUUCUGCUGUUUUUCUUUUGCUCUUGUUCCUUUCAAUGGACUGUACUUGGAUGCUUGCUUUGUCAUUUUGGCAGCUCUUCAUGUGUGGACUUCGAGUUAUUAGGGCACUUCUACUAUAGGAAGGACCAAGGGCGGAGCUACCAUGGGCCUAGAGGGGGCGGAUGCCCCCACUGAGAUUUUUCUGAUGCUGGCAUGCUCAUCUGUUUCUGCAGCAGCAAAGCCCCCACUGCGAUUUUGAGCAGCAGCAAAGCCCCCACUGCAAUUUUCUGGUUCCUCCGAUCUGGGUCUUUCUAAACCAGGCCAAAGGCAAAACGAACCUCUGCAGAAGCCUGAUCUGAUUUUUUUUUUUUAAUGUAAACGAAACGGCGUCGUUUCGUAUAUGUUUAAAAAAAAAAAGUUAUGUUAUAGUAUUAGUGGGGGACCAGACUCCCAUUUCUUUUUUUUUGUCUCCUAAAAAAGUUAUGUUAUAGUAUUAGUGGGGGACCAGACUCCCAUUUCUUUUUUUUUUUACUCCCUUUGUUUUCGUUGCCCUUUGUCAGAGAGCAGCUUGGUGCUGCUCUGUUUGUCUUCUCCAAAGUCCAAACCAAUACCUUGAAAGUUGCUCUCCUGUCCAGGUGCUCUCUGGAGCAAAGUUGCUCUUCCCAGCCAUGCCAGCAGCCAGCCAUUCUCUAGUCUCUAGCCGACAACAUAUAUAUAUAUAUUUAGGUAAAAUUUUUAAUUCCUAAAUCUAUAAUUCCUAACCCUAAUUAAUUAUUUAAGACGAAUUUUUGUUUAAUUGGUAUAGAAAUAUAGAAUCAUAUGGAUAUGGUAUGCACUAAUAUGGAUGGUUAUUGACUUAUUGAUUAUUGAUAUGAUGAAUUCUAUGAUUAUUGAUGAAUGAAAUUAUGAAAUUAUGAAUUCUAUAAAUAUGGGUAUACAUUUAUUCAAAUGAUUAGUUGAAUUAAAUGUUUAUUUGUUGAAUAAUUUGUAUGCUUAUUGGUAUUAGUUAAUUGAAUUGUUGCCUUGGUUGGAUAUGGAUUAGUUAUUAGGCAUUUAUUUUAUUUUUUGGUUAAGAAAGCAUAUAUAUUAAUAUGGAUAACAUUGUCAACAUCUCCAAGAAAACUCAAUUCUACGGCUUAACAGUCUAAAAACAAAUCCAUUUUUCAGAAAUGGAAUCAUAAUCAUCCCCUUUCGAAACCCAAAAAAGAAGAAGAAAUGGAUUAGUUAUUAUUAGGCAUAUUAGUAUAGUAUACUCUAGGAUUAAGAGUCUAAGAAUUUUAUUGAGAUUUUUAUUCUAUAAAUUCUACAAAUUACGUAUGAACCUUAUAUGUUAUUGGUAUAUGACUAACUUUGUAGGCUGAAACAUCAUGGAGAGGUUUUUCAAAAAAAUAUCAGUGCCGCCACCAUCCCCAAUUAUUGAGAAAAAUAAUGAUACUCGGGGACAUGAUAGUGCAGAAUUUAUUUUAUCAAAUCUUCCAUCAGAUCCUGGUAAGAGAAUUCGAAUUUUGGAUUACAAUCCUAAUAUUCGAGAUCAAGUACGAAGAGCGUAUGUACUAGCUGGUCCUCAACAACCUAAAACCCAUAAUUUUCCUUACAAGAAAUAUGGAGACACGCAAAGACGAUUCAACCCUGCUUGGUUUGAUGAUUUUCCUACUUGGUUGGAAUAUAGUGUAGAAAAAGAUGCUGCCUUUUGUCUGUGUUGCUACCUUUUUAAACCAAACAUUGGAGAACAAGCAGGUGGUGAUUUCUUUGUUGGCGAAGGAUUUUCUAACUGGAAGAAGAAAGAAAGACUUCUAACUCAUAUUGGAGGCGUCAAUAGUGCACACAAUCAAGCGUGGAGUAAUUUUGAAGCUUUAAGGAGUCAAAAGCAACAUAUCCAGUCUUUUUUCUCUAAAACUCAUGAUGAAGCUCGAAUUCAAUAUAGAGCUCGGUUGAAUGCAUCAAUUGAUUGUUGUCGAUUUCUUUUGAGACAAGGGCUUGCAUUUCGUGGUAAUGAUGAAUCUGAACAUUCAAGCAACCAUGGAAACUUUCUUGAGCUUCUACAGUUUAUUGCUGACCACAAUGAGGAUGUGAAAGCCGUUACUUUGAAAAAUGCUCCGGAGAAUCACAAAUUGACAUCACCAGAUAUUCAAAAAGACAUUGUAAAUGCUUGUGCAACUGAGACGAUCAAGGCUAUUAUUGAAGACGUUGGCACUUCGUUGUUCUCUAUUUUGAUUGAUGAAUCUCGUGACGUAUCAACGAAGGAACAAAUGGCUAUUGUAUUGCGUUAUGUGGACAAGAAUGGGCAUGUCGUUGAGCGUUUUAUUGGCAUUGAGCAUGUUACUAGUACCGCUGCUCUCUCACUCAAGGAAACCAUUGAUGGGGUAUUUUCUAGGCAUAAAUUGAGCAUGUCUAGGUUGCGUGGGCAAGGUUACGAUGGGGCCAGCAAUAUGCAAGGUGAGUUCAAUGGUCUUAAAGCUCUUAUUAUGAAAGAAAGUGGUUGUGCCUAUUAUAUUCAUUGCUUUGCACAUCAACUUCAAUUAGCUCUUGUAGCUGUGGCAAAGAAGAACAUUCAAAUUGAGUCUCUUUUUAGUAUAGUUACUAUUUUGGUAAAUGUUGUUGGAGCUUCAUCGAAGCGUUGUGAUCUUCUUCGGGAGAAGCAAUCUAUUGCAGUUAUUGAAGCACUAAACAGUGGUGAGUUUACAAGUGGGAAAGGCAAAAAUCAAGAAACUACUUUGAAACGUGCUGGAGAAACACGUUGGGGUUCACACUUGGGUACUUUAGUAAGUAUAAUGACUAUGUUUUCAUCCAUACUUGAUGUACUUGAAGUAAUAGCAGAUGAUGGAGUAAGCUCUCAACAAAGAUGUGAAGCGAAUAAUUUAUUGGAUUCCAUGCAAUCAUUUGAUUUUGUGUUUAAUCUACACUUGAUGAAAGAUAUACUUGGAAUAACCAAUGAAUUGUCACAAGCAUUGCAAAGGAAGGAUCAAGAUAUUGUAAAUGCUAUGAAGUUGGUUGGAGUUUGUAAGCAAAGGUUGGAGAUAAUGAGGAAAAAAAUGGUUGGGAUUCUUUACUCAAUGAAGUCUCAGAAUUUUGUCUUAAACAUGAUAUUGAUGUGCCUAAUAUGGAUGAUAUGUUUCUUUCUCGAAGGCGAGGGCAACGAAAAGCAAAAGCAGUCACAAAUAUGCAUCACUAUUGUGUUGGGAUAUUUUAUGUUGUUUUGGAUUGGCAGCUUCAAGAACUAAAUAAUCGUUUCAAUGAGACCAACACUGAGUUACUUCUUUGUUUGGCAUGUUUAUGUCCAGCCGACUCCUUCUCUGCUUUUGAUAGCCAAAAGCUAUUGCGUCUUGCCCAAUUUUUAUCCUAAAGACUUCUCUAUGAAUGAGCUGGUGAUACUUAAGAUUCAACUUGAGACUUACAUUGUGGAUAUGCGGUCUAGCAUUGAGUUUUCAGGUUUAAAAGAGAUUGGAGAUCUUGCAAAAAAAAUGGUUCAAUGCAAGAAACACAAGGUGUAUUCGCUGGUUUACUUGCUUGUGACAUUAGCACUAACUCUUCCAGUUGCUACUGCAACCGUUGAAAGAGCAUUUUCGGCCAUGAAAAUUCUGAAGAAUCGAUUGAGAAAUCGGAUGGGAGAUCAAUGGAUGAAUGAUAACAUGGUUAUUUUUAUAGAGAGAGAGAUAUUUGAUGGUAUUGGUAAUGAUGUUGUCAUGCAACGCUUUCAGAACAUGAAAACGCGUCGAGGGAUAUUGUAAAGGACUGUUGUAUGAAAAACUUUAUGGAUUAAUAUAUAAGUAUUGUGUUUAGUAAAUUCUUAAGCUUUUUAAUUAUGACUUUGUUGUUUGAGGAUGCCCCCAUUCACACAAAUCUCUGGCUUCGUCCCUGGGAAGGACCCCAGGAUAAUUGACAAUUAAAUCUCCUCUAUUGAAUAAUAAUCGUUUUUAAUAAACAGUAAUUGUCUUUUACAUCUUCAUCUUUAAACUGAAUAGUCAUGGCAAUAGGCAAUUAAAUAUUAUUUAAGCAAGGGGAAGAAAUGUUCAAUCUCCAGGAGGGCGAAAAUGAGAUGGAAGAGGAAGAUGAUGAGGAGCGUAAAAGGAGAGAUGACGAAGUAAGUAGUCAAAGAGCCUUAUAUUCCUGUCGAGUCAUCCAAGUUGUGGCUGAGAUCUUCAGGCCUAGCCAUUCCGCAAACAUCGAUGGAAUCAGGCAACGACGACGUAAGGAUCUCUUGGACGAUUAUUUUGUCUGUAACAGUGUAUUCCCUAAUAUGUGCUUUAGAAGUUGUUUUAGAAUUCAACGACAUUUGUUCGAUAAAAUCAUGAUUGUUGUUUGCAACCAUGAUUCUUACUUUGUGCAAAAGAAUGAUGCUUUUGGUGUCAUGGGUCUCAUUCUUAAGCAAAAAAUUACUACUGCUUUGCAGAUGCUUACAUAUGGAGCAUCUGCAGACCAAGUGGAUGAAAUAGCGAGGAUGGGGAAAUCAACCAUUCUUGAGUCCCUGAUAAGGUUUUGCUCCGCAAUCAAAUCUAUCUACACCAAAGAGUACCUCCGAAGACUUACGACAAUAUACUUGCAAAGGCUUCUGAAGAAGGGUGAGAUGCAAGGUUUUCCUGGUAUGAUUGGAAUCAUCAACUGUAUGCUUUAGACCUGGAAAAAUUGUCCAAGUGCAUGGCAAGGAGCUUAUGAGGACAGAAAAUGAGUAAAAAGUAUCAUUUUGGAGGCAGUGGCAUCAUUUGAUACAUGGAUUUGGCAUGCUUUUUGACAUGUAUCAUUCUUCACAACAUGAUUGUGGAAGAUGCGUAUGAUUAUGAUGUCAUUAAUGAAUUUGAGCUAGACCCGAUGAACAAUUCCAAAACAGAAAUAUAUUGUGCUCAUGAUGCCACUUAAGAACCUGUGCAACACGAGCCAUUAGAAAUGGAUGGACGUUACAAUGAAAAGCUCAUUGAACGACAUACUUCGCUCCAAUCCUCAUACUAUCACAAAUCCCAGCAAAUUGACUUGAUAGAGCACUUGUGGGGAUUGAAAAAAGCUCAAGAAACUUAAAAACAAGUUUGUGAUGGAAGAAGAAUGCUCUUAGUUUGUUUGGUGUGUUUUUUAAGUUCAUUUAGUGUGGUUUUUUUUUAUUUGGUGUGUUUAUGUUCUUUGAAUAAAGAUUUUCUUAGUUUAAAUAAAGUACCAAAUUAAAUAAAGAUACUCUUGGUUUAAAUAAAUACGAAAUUACAUAAAGUACCAAAUUAAAUAAAUACAAAAUACAACCCAAAGUGAUUGGAAAAUUAUGGGCUCCGAUUAUACAACAAAUUCCCUAGUCCUUCGUGAAUGGAAAAUCAUCACCUAACCAAUUUGUGGUGCUAGGACCAUCUCCACUUGCUCUCUCUUCUCUUGCACGCCUCUUUUGCACCAUCUUUGAAUUCCAAAAAUAUUUAGAAUUUGAUGAAAUCUACAGGCUCCUUCAUAGUUUCACGAUCUUGUUGGGCCCUUCUUUCUUCUUUAAGCUAUUCCCUUUCUUGCCUAAGUAGCUCUUUCUCUCUUAUUAGCUUGAAAUAAUCUCUCAGCAGAUACAGCUUUUGCCUCAUCUCUAACCUUAUUAGCCUCAAAAUUAACCAUUUCCCGUGCCAAAAUCAAAUCACCUUGGUGAGCAAGUUCUUCCAUAUAUUUUGCAUAAUUAUUCUUGGAAGCACUCCCUUUUCUCUUUGAAGCCUAAGCGGAUAACGGGUCGACACUGGCACUUGUUUAGGGGUCACUUCAGGCACUUGUUUUGUGUCGCUUUCAUGAACAUGCGAGUCUUGAUCUGGUGUAGAGUGUAGAGGGGUGUUGUUCAUGAUAACUUCUAAACCGACACAACUCUGAAUUUGGGACAAUCUUUGACAAUAUUCCAACAUUCCCACCGGUUGAAUGAUUUGAUUUUGUUUUUGGCAUUAUACCAAGUUUGUGCUUGAAGUGUCUACAAAAUGCGGGAGAAAAAAAAUUAUAAUCAAAGUAGCUAAUGUAAAUUUGGGUAUAGUACAAACAAAUAAAUAAUAUAUUGUUACCUGAUCCGCGUAAUUUUCCCACUUCGAAUAUUAGUACUAGCUUGUGUCAAGGUGUUUCUCCAAUGAGUAAACGGUUAGCUGAGUAUUCUCCAACAACUUGAGAGUGAUUGUUCCGUUCUUUUGCCACCAAUUUUCUCAAGAAAAAUGGAAUGAAUAUUGCUCCACAUUUCUCGCAACUGCAUCUCAUUACUCGUAAUCGGAUCAUGAGUAACUUCAACCCAACUAGAACACAACGUAAUAUCUUCAAUAAGCGUCCAAUUCAUAUCUAUAUCAUUAGCCUUUUUUUUUUUUGGAAACAAAAGUAUAUAUAAACUUUGAGAGAAAGAUUGGAAUGUGGUUGAAAGUAUUUGAGAAAAUAUGAAAUUGUAAGGUGGAAGAUAAUGAUAAGGUAUUUAUAGAAAAAUAAAAUCAAUUUUUAAAAAAGAAAAAGUUUAAUUUUUUUCGUAUUUUUUUAUUAAUUUUUAACUUUUUUAUUAACUUAAUUAAAUUUUUCCUUUUGAUUAAAGAAAAAUCCAACCCUCCAGAUUGUGCCAUGUGUCAUAAUAGUAACAUAUCAGAUUUUUUUUUUCUUUUUUUUUUCAUUGUUAAAGCCGAAAAAUGUGGACCAUUGAUCUGGAAUCGAACAACUGAGAUUGUGCCACGUCAUCUAGCCGUUGGGGGAGGUUUUACCGUUGGAAAUCCAAUGGUCCAAAAAAAUUAGCCUUUGAAAUCCGACGGACGAAAGGGUGCCACGUGGCACCAGUAACGAUAACAUUUCAGAGUUUAAACAGCGAGCCCCACCGACUGAAAUCUUGUCGGUGACGCGCCCCCACGCGUUGGUGUUAUGCACACGCCUGACGCAAUUUUUUUUAUAACAUAGCUGACAUCAUCCUGACGUCAGCCUUGCAUCACAUAGCCCUCAGGCACUCGGACCUUGGACUCACGCCUGCCCUUUCCCACGGGCUCCCCCUUAGCCCAAUUGCUCACAUGGGCUAGAGCAAGUUUGGGAGGCUAUUGGGUUGCUUUGGUUCCUUGUCCACCGGACUAUCUCUAUUCCUGGACUUGCUCUUAGAAUGGUGGGGGUGAAUUUCAUAGAGUGAGUGAGUCACUAAAAGAAUUUCCAGUAAUAUUAAAAAGUAUUUGUUUGACAAUCACUUGCAAGUCGCAUGUAUAUGUAAACUUGUGACGGAGUCGAUGAUGAAAAUUUGAUUGAGUAAAGUCUAAAUUUACUGCUCGUCUAUACUUAAUCAAAGAAUUGUAAUGAUUAUAGUAUUAUUAUUUGUCAUUACGCACCAAUGGAUGCACAAACUGACCAUCAAUAUGUAUAAGUAAACUUGGGUGUUGGGUUGGUGAAGGUUUAAUUGUGUACCAAGUAACGUCUAAAUUUAUAACUCAUUCCUAAUGCUUAUCAGUUCGGAACGUGACCACUUGUAAGGCAUGCACACAAGAAAAAUUAAAGUUAAAUAAACAAGCAUGAAAAUCAUUGUUUCUUAGUUGGUAAUCAAGGCUUGGAGAUUACAUUAGGCUUGAUCAUUAAAAUACCAUAACCUUUUUAGCGUUGACCGCCAAGUAAACUCGGGCGUUGCACCAAUGAAGAUUUUAUUAGGUAACAGAUAACGCCUAAAUUUACAGCUAAUUCCUAAUACUUAUUUCUUUGCAAUUUGACCACUUGUAACUUUGUAAGGCAUGCACAUAAGAAAAAAUAAAAAAUAAAAAACAUGUAAAUCAUUAUUUCUCAAUUGGCAUUCAAUUUUUUUUUAUAUUUAAUCAUUUUAGCUUUCACCUUAAAAUAAACUUAGGUGAUAUCUAAGUUUGAUUAAGAAGCUAAGUUUUUAACUAAUUUUUUAAACUCAGCCGAUUCAUUAGUGUGAAUCGCCAAUUUACUCCUAACCAUCAAUGUCUUUACAUUUUUUUUAAACAAAUGAUAUUAUCUACACUAAGAGAAAAGGGGUGGCUGCUAGCAAUAAUGUGGUUCAAAUUCAUUGAGUAAAGAGAAAUAUCACUAAACCCUUAUAAGUAAAGAAAAAUACUAUUAAACUGUAAUAUUAAAUGAUUCUCUACAUUUCUUUUAUAUCAUUUUAUGUUCGCUUGGGACACCAUGCCAAGGGAGGUGCCCUACACCUAUGAGAAAUUUGAUCCCACCUAUAGACACUUGGCAACGUAUAAACCCUAAUAAUAGCUUGAAUUGAACACAUUGGUGUUCGAGCACUUGUCAAAUUUUGAGAGCAUGCAAAACUAGAGGCCACAAAAACAAAACAUCUUUUGAAUUAGCUAAAGGCGUUUUAAGCAUUAGUUAACCACCCACCUAAAAAUUCAUUGUUUUAAUAUAAAAGAAAGAACGUAUGAAACGAAAUGGAAAAAUCAUGUUGUUCUAGUAGGUUGAUUUGAUUGUUUUUGUUUAUGCAUGUGGCUUUUGCUAGUUUGGUGAGACAGUAACCGAAUAGAAUUUUGAUGUGACAAACCAGGGGGUGAAACAAUAGAACCAACUAGCUCCAUCAAAGUUCUAAACAUAGAAAUUUAAAUAGGAUAGGGAUCCUCUCCAGAUUUCUUCUUCCUAAUUUACCAAAUCAGGAAAUCCGUGUAAUUUAAAUUAGAUCCAAUAGCUGAAGUUAUUAUAACUUUUAAAUGGCCCUCUGUUUGUGGCCGUUGAAUCAAAUUUCAAUAGCUCAGAUUCUCUAAUUUGAUGGAUUAUGAGGAUUGAAUCUGGAGGUGAUCCCUUUCUAUUAAAAUAUACAUUCAAAAUUUUAAGAAAGUCUUAUCAACAAUGCAUCCAAAAUAUUAAAUUCCUUUAUUUGUGGGAAUUAAUUUGGUUAAUUUUGUGACGGUCUCUAAGUAGCUCAAGUAAGAUGGAGUGAGAUUUUUACAGUAUAGAGAGCAGCUCAACACUUUACAAGCGCAUGUAAUGUUCCUUAAUUCUCUUAUGGAAGAUUUACUAUGCCUCUCACGUGUGACAUCAUGUAAGUCUAACAAGUUGACAAUACAUAUUUGUUGAUGUGAGAGCAAAAGCAAGUAGGCCAUCGGGCUUAGUAUGCAGCUAACCUCCUUUAAUACUAUGAAAUAAGUUGAGAUUUUAUGCUUAACAAUCAGGAGUAGCACAACUUAUUAUAAAUAAGCAUUUUAACCAAAAUGGUUCCUGAAAUUAGCAUAAAUCCUCACUUUGGUCCUUGAGAUUUGAAAUCGAUAGAAUUUGUCCUUGAGUUUGUCUGUCAUCAAUCAUUUUGGUCAUCCUGUGAAAAAUUUAUGUUAAAUAAGAACCAAAAUGAAAAAAUGCUCUCAAUUUAAUAAACAAUGAGCCAAUAUAAUUUGACAAAAAUUGAGAGUUUUUUUUUUUUUUUUUUGUCAUUUCAUCAUUAUUUAACGGAGAUUUUUUCACAAAAUGACUAAAAUGAUUGAUGGUGAACAAACUCAAGAACCAAUUCUAUCGAUUUUAAAUCUCAAGGACUAAAGUGAGAAGUUAUGUCUAUCUCAGGUACUAUUUUAGCUAAAAAAAUCUUAUAAAUAGACGUAAAAUUCCUUAAUUUUUCAUUGUAAAUUCACGCUCUCAACAUUAUUAAUAGUAAUCAUCUAUGUUAUUUUAUAGAUUACUUUGAUAUUUUCGUCCCCACCAAUUAAAGUGUAAAGAAAAGGUUAUAUGUACGUACCUGGAUGUAUACCACCAUACUCAACUGAUUUACCGAAAAAGGUGGCAUAUCUAAUGUUUUCUUUUAAGAAUUUCUCAAAACGAAUUCUCAAAAACGUUGCUUUCAGUAUAAAAAAAUUCUCAUCCACAGUCCAAUAGAGUUCAGAAAAUAUUUAAAUCCAAAGAGAAGGUUUGGGGAUUUCUCAAAACAGACAGUUAGCUGUGAUCAUGAAUAUUCCAUAUGCAUCAUCAAAUAGCUAGCUACUACCUAAUCGUGUUGCCUCCAAUAUGACAAGGAAUGGACCGAAACCUGACUACGCACUAUUAGAGCAUCUCCAAUAGAAGAUGCAAAAUAUAUUGGAAUUGUUGCAGUUUUAUUGGAUUGAGAAUGUAAUUGUGUAAAGUAUAGUGUAUUUAAGAGUAUCUUUGUAUAUUCCCUUUAGUAGUUUAAUUCCUAUUAGAGUUGUAAUCCUAAUAGGGUAAGGAUUUAAUCUUCCCUACUACUAUAAAUAAAGGCAUAAUGGGGUGAUACAAUACACACCUCAGAAUCACAUCUCUCUCUUCUCUCUCUGUUGUCGCCGGCCUCUCCCUCAAUGUCCUAAAUACAGUUCAGUCAAAUAGGCAUACAACACGUUAUCAGCAUGCCCUUGCCAGAAGCUAAGGAACUGAAGGAUCGUGGAUGAGGAUUUCUUCUACAACAUCAAAGGCUUUCAAUGAUUUUCUGCUAAUCAGGUUUUUCUAAAAUAAAUUAAGAUAUUUGAAAGAAAAAAACCUUGAAGAAUGAAAACAUUCCCCAUAAUGCAUGAACCCCCUAUAUUUAUAUUUUCUUUCCAAUUAUAUAUACUGCAUAUGUGUUCAUAUAUUUUGUCAAUAUAUAUACUUGUUCAUGCAAUACACAAUUAUGCUAUGUGGAAUUUGUGAGUCAAAGCAUUGAAGUUAAUUUAAAAGCAAUUAGGGUUUUUAACCCUAGAUUUCGAGAAAAAAAUAAAAUAAAAAAUCUAGGAUUUUUGCGACAAAAGUCGCGGCUCACCGUCGCGCCACAGCCAGCACCACCGCUGCCAUACCCCGUCGUUAACAUGCAGCCUAGCCGCAUAGAGCACCUUGGGAUGGCAUCGUUUCGAUGCCAUGGACCACUAAGUAGCAGCCUCAUGGGCUUGCUACCUCUGCACAGAUAACCAGGCUUCGACCUGGGUUGGGUUUCCAUAAGCCUGAAGCCCCGAGCCCACUAGCAAGCCUGCAGCCUUGUUGGACCAUCCCUUGCAACCUAGCCCAACCUGCUAGCAAGCUUUUGUGCUUGUUGGGCUUGUCCUCUUGCCCUGGCCCUCCUACAGCAGAUUUCUUGGCUGAUGGGUUUGAACUGUCACAGCCUAACCACAAAGUCAGCUUGGGCUACGCUUUGCAGCGCCUCAAACCAAAGCCAGCUUCGGUUGGGCUUGCUAGCGCUUUGGCCCGAGACCAAAUCAAGUCAGCCUUUGCGGUUGAGCUUACCCAGGAACAGCCCAUGGCCUGCAGCCAUGAUUUGGGCUGCCCAGUUGCAACCCGUGGCCUCUCUAAGCCCUUUUAGGGCCUUGGCUUGCUCACGGCACCCAAGCCCACCGUCAUUGGGCUAUGGUUUUUUUAAUCCAAUGCUAUUUUUGUCAUUCUUUAUAAUUUAACCUGAAUGUUAUAAUUAUUUUUGCUUCUACAAUCGAUCUUGUAUGGUCUGAUCUAUUGAAUUCAUUAAAGUGACCAACAAUCCAUUAAUCUGAAAAUUAAUCCAAAAUUAUUAGCAUGUAGCUCACUUUUUGAAAAUUAACAAUUCAAUAAAUUAUUUCGUUUCUUUGAAUCGUUGAAUAUCUUUCGUAAUCCCGAAGCACUCACACUUGGGGUCCUGAAACAAUCCACAAAUUCACUACACUUUAUUGUAUAUUGUAUUAUGUGUUCUUGCAGGUAUCCUUAUAUAUGAACUGAACGUUCAUAACUAAAUAGAACCUGUAGUUUCGAAUUUAGUGUCCUUGAAACUCGAAAUUUUCAUUCAAAACUUACCACAUGAAACCUGUAGCUUUCAUGCUUAAAUUAAACCAAUACAUGUCCAUAGAACCCGAAUGUUCUACGAUAUAUGUCUAUGGAUUUCCAUAUGACUAACCAUGUUUUGUUGUAACCUCCGUUUUAGGGACAUGUCGAACUUGAACAAGCUCAAAUUCACCGCUCUGGAAGUCUCUGGAAAAAACUACCUGAAGUGGGUUCAAGACAUGAAACUCCAUCUUACUGCAAAAAGUCUUAGAGCUACUAUCGAGGAACCAAUAAAUGAUGAAGCCGUCGAUGAAACUCUGAAAGUUACUACUAUGAUCUUCAUUCGCAUACACACCCAUGAUGUACUACAGACCGAGUACCUCGCAGAGAAGGAUCGACGUACAUACCCUCUGGCUUGCUCUAGUCGAUCGCUCCGAUCACCGAAAAGACAUUUACUUGCUUGAAGCAAGACAUGAUUGGCAGCAUUUACGUUUCCAAGACUUUAAGUCAGUGAAUGAAUAUAACUCUGAAAUUUGUAGAAUUCGAUCACUACUUAAGUUCUGUAACGAGGACUUAACCGAACAUGAUCUCCUAGAAAAUACCUAUUUGACCUUCAAUGUCACCAAUAUUGUCUUGCAACAACAAUAUAGGGCAUAUAAGUUCGCCAAAGUUUUAGAUUUGAUAUUUAUUUUACUUCUCGCUAAAAGCAGAACCAGCUUUUAAUGAGAAAUCAUCAAGCUCGACUUACUAGCUCGAACGCUGCGUCUAAAGCACAUGCGACCAAUUCUAGCAGCCACAACUAACAAAAAUCUCAUCGUGGUCGUGGAAAUGGGCGGUAAGCCCCACCAUGGGCCCAAAGUCAACAAAUAGAGGCCCACCCAAGUGAGGAAAUUUGACCUAAAAUGUUAACCCCUUGCCUUUAAGGCCCCAAACUUCAAGAAUAAGGGAAAAACUACCAUUCAAUCGGCUUCCACUGAACUGGACAUGUGAUAUUAUUGUGGAUCAAAUGGUCAUUGGUCAUGCAUCUGCUAAGCUACCCCUGAGGCGAUUGCCAAGUAUCAUUCCCUCGUGAGGCUAACUUUGUGCUUGUAGAACUUCCCGAAGAUACUACUACCACCCUGGAGGUUUCAGAUUUUCAUGAGGCAUCCACUCCCAUGGAAGAAUAAAGUUUUAUUUUUCUAAGACAUGUUAGGCUGUUUUACACCCCUAGUGGCCGAACCCAUUAGGAGUGGCCAAACCCCCUACAUUUUAGGUUUAUGGUUUAAUUUUCAGACAAUUUUUCUAAGUCUUUGGAAUUAUUUGUUUGGUUUUGGUUUGUUUUGAACUAUGGAUAGUUAUUUUAUGUAUAUUAUUUCUCGACUUGAUUAAUUGAAUGAAUGGAAUUAUAUUUAUGCAUGUGACCAAUUUAAUUUAUUUAUUUAUAGGUAUGACUAGUGGAGAAGUUAGUUGUCUGGCUGAUAGUGCCACCAUGCACACCAUAUUGCGUGAGAAACACUAUUUUACUAACUCAUACCUAAAAAUGCACCUCUGAAAACAUUCUCAGGCCCAUCCAACCUGAUAGAAGGAUACAUAAAGGCUUGUAUUAUGUUGUCCAAUGGUACUGAAUUAACCAUUAAAAAGGCACUCUAUUAAAAGGCAUUAUUUGUAUCACUUCUUACGAAUAUGGCCAGAAGCGUACUCACAAUAAGCUGGAAAAUCUCCCGAGUGGGUUGUACAUAACAACCAUUCGUGUCAUCGAUACCCAUCAUGUGGCCAGCCUUAUAGCUGGGUUCCAGAGUAUUCUCCUGUUUUGGCAUGAUCAAAUGGGACACCCCGGAAGAGAUAUGAUGCACCGUAUCCUUAAAGUAUCACAAGGGCAUCACUUGAAAUCUUAUCCUGGUCAACCACUUUGCAAAGCAUGCUCUUUGGGGAAGUUGAACAUUCAACCUUCCCUUACAAAGAUUAUUCACGACCCCUCUAUGUUUCUUUAGAUGAUUCAAAGGGAUAUUUGUGGACCUAUCCAACCAACAUACGGACCAUGUUUGCUUAUUAUUCACAUGCAAUGCUGCAUUUGCGAAACUCCUAGCACAAAUUAAUAAGCUUAGGGUUCACCACCCUGAUUAUCCGAUUAAGUCGAUUCGACUAGAUAAUGCGGGAAAGUUUACGUCACAGACUUUUGACGAUUAUUGCAUGUUUAUUGGGAUUGAUGUUGAACAGCCUGUACCCCAUGUUCACACCCAAAAUGGCCUGGCAGAAGCUUUCAUAAAGCGCCUUCAAACGAUAGCUCGGACUUUGGUUAUGCGAACCAACUUGCCGGUAUCUGCUUGGGGCCAUGCAAUAUUGCACGCAACUAUAUUGGUCUAUCUGAGGCCCACCACUACCUAACCUCAUUCACCGUUACAGUUGGUUAUUGAAUAUGAGUCUGACGUCUCACAUUUAUGUGUGUUUGGGUGCGUAGUCUAUGUGCUAAUAGCACCGCCACUACGUACCAAAAUGAGUCCUCAAAGAAAAAUGGGAAUCUAUGUCGGUUAUGAUUUGCCAUCCACUAUUUGCUACUUAGAACCCUUGACAGGAGAUUUAUUUACCGCACAUUUUGCGGAUUGUCACAUCGAUGAGACAGUCUUCUCGUCGUUAGGAGGAGAUAAGAUCACUAAAGUUCUUGUAGAACGCCGCGAAUUGUCGUGGAUUACUCACAUUAUGUCUCAUUUGGAUCCCUACACCCCUCAGUCUGAAAUUGAAGUGCGAUGUAUACUAGAUCUUCAGAGCAUCACCCAAAGCAUGCCGGAUGCUUUUACUAAUCUAGCAAAGGUGACGAAAUCACAUAUACCCGCUGCCAAGGUAUAAAAUAUCGAUGAUAUCGGAAAUAUCGGUAGUCCAAAAAUACGGAAAUAUUGAUGGAAAUAUCGGGAUAUUAUCAAUAUCAAUAAAAUUGAAUAAAAACCACGGAAAUCGUAAGAAAAACUUGGAAAUUUUUAUUGAAACUUUGGAGAAUGUUUAUUUAGUCAAUUAUCUAUUAGUUUAUCAAAAAAAAUUAGAAUGAAAUGCAUUACAUGAUGGAUUUAACUGAUUUAAGUUGAUUAUACAGCGAGCUGGCAAACACUGUGAGUAUAGAAAAUAUGUAGUAAUUAAUGAAAAAAAUUAAACACACCAUAAUCAUUUAUAUAUAAUGAUUUACUACAAUAUUUUACAUUUUAUACAUUGCAUGGUAAGAUACAUGAGUGAUUUAGUACCACAUAAAGUUCCUAUGAGGUUCAAAUUUUUCACUAUCUUCAUCAUCUCUAUGUGUAGAGUAAGUUUAUUGUGAAGAGUAUUCAUCAAAUGAUAAAUCCUCAAAAUAGUUUUGCAUGUAAUUGUUAACAUGUCACUCAUAUAAAUUAAUAAAUAUAAAUAUUUUAGCAUAUUAUCACUAAAACAUAAGUGAUAUAUCGUGGUUAAGGUGUUGGAGGAGUAAAAUGGGAGGGGUUCAAAAUCCCCUUUGUGUUUUUUUUCCUCCUUUUUUGCCCUUUUUUCUUCUUUUUCCUUUAAACUUUAAAAGAUCACACAAAAAAUCAAUGAUUCAUAUCAUUGUACAAGACUACAAGAUGAGAAUGAACAUCUCGAGGACAAUAUGAAAAUAUUCAAAAUAGAAAGUUUCAAGUGGUGUAUUGCCCUAAUGAAGAAGAGUUGUAUUCGAAUUAAAAUAAGGUUGUGGUAUCGACACACCUAUUUUUUACACACUACACUCAAUUUUCAAUUGAUCGGGAUCAAAUGAAAUUAAACAAGAUCUAUGAAAAAAUUAACAAGAAUAUAUGCAAGGUACAAAGUGUGUGUGGAAAACGCUACAUUUUAAAAAAUAAUCUCACUAUGUGGAGUAAACAAAAUAAUAACAAAUAGAAGAAUAAAAAAAUAUGUCACCAUUUCUUUCUUCCCUACCCUGCACGUGAGGUCAGAAGGAUGAUUUUAAAAUCUGCCACCUUCUUUUCGUCCUUCAUAAUAUCCCCCUCCCCAUUUCUCUUUCCCCAUCGCCCGUCCAAGCCUCUCCUCUCC
rnacentral:lncRNA from 1 species